GACCAGAAAGCAGGAUCCAUGAAGAUUGAAAAUUAAGUCCACUUGACAAUGUACAUGAUCAGUACUGAGCACUAGUAUUCCCUGUCUGUCUCAAGAUACUACAGCAUCAAGUUCUAGACAUCCUUUUCCCUUACACUCUCAGUAUCCACACCAGAAAUUAUGGACUACUACCAAAGCAUCACCAGCAUCAUACCUCUCUCUCUCUCUCUCUCUCUCUCUCUCUCUCUCUCUCUCUCUCUCUCUCUCUCUCUCUCUCUCUCUGCUAUGUUCUGAAAAAUCCCCAUAAUCAAUUACUUACUUGAAUAAUAAUACAGGCAGUGAAGCUACAGCAAGGGCCAUAUUACACUAGACAUCUGACCGGUGGCGUCGGAAUGGAUCGAACGGCUGCAUCUUCUAAUACAGCAUACUCCGGUUCGCGGCCAGCUGAUCAUGCAGAGGGCCACACUGCAGGCCUUGAUCUUGCAAACCCAUGCCGUAGCUCGGCGGCGAAUUGUAUGGCGCAUUCGCUCCGCCGUGCUGCUUGGUGUCGGCCGGCAGCGAGUACUGCCCCGUUGCUGGGCUCGGUGCCGGCGCGCUGGACUGGGUGAUCAUCGAUGACUGGGACGGCGAGGGGGGCUGGUCGUCCAGGUGCACCGUGGUGAUGUCGUGGAUGCUCGACCUCCUCUUGUCCUUGCCGCCACCGGAGCUGAGCCUGAUGAAGUACUUCUGCGCGUGGCUGGCCACCUGCGUCGGCGUCCUCGUCUGCACGAAGUUGCGCGAAAUGUUCCUCCAGUCCCCUUUGCCGUACUUCUUCAGGCCUAGGAGGAACAACCUGGCCAAAAAGAACAGAGCAUAUGAUCAGAUUCAGCAACUAGCAGUAUUGAUCAUGCACAUCAGGCUACAUGGCAUCAACUAGUAAUAUGGAUCAUGAAUUCUUGCUCUACAUCAGGCUACAUGAGCAUCAAACAUCAUGCUACAUAUGACUGUCUCAUCAAUUGCUAGUGAACAAAGACAAGUGAUUCACUUUCAGAUAGCAGUUCUUCCAUGGUUGAAUUGUUCUUCCAAUUUGGCAUGUUUUAAAUGCUGGCAGAGCCAUCUGAUGAUGUAAAGCCUGUUGAUUGAUGGCGAAUUCAAGAAAGGAAAUUUAUAUCACUAACUAAUUAGAUGGAGCAGAGCAAUCGCUCUCACAGGUCACUGAGAUCGGAGAAGAAGACUAUGAUAUGGAGUUGCAGUUAAGAAUCGUGGUAGCAGUAGUAGUGCUCACUUGUGCUCGUCCUCGGUCCACGGCACCCCCUUCUUCCUCUCCUGCUCCGGCGUGCGGCCGCCGUGCCGCCGCCCGCCGCCGCAGCCGCCGAAGCGGUAGCCGUGCCGGAAGUCCCCGGCCCCGGCGUGGCCGCCGCUGCCGUCCCACUGCAGGGUGAAGGCGCCGGGGCCGUAGCCGGGGCCGGGGCCGGGGAAGGUGCCGGACUCGAUCUGGCGGACGUCGAGCUCGAGGCUCUUGAAGUGGUCGACGACCUCGCGGACCGUCUUGCCGGUGGCGUGCGCCACCUUGUCCCAGUCCGGGCUGCGCAGGUCCAGCCCGGCCAGCGCCCGCUCGAACUGCUUGUUCUCGUCCGCCGUCCAGGCGCGCGGCUGCCCCGUGAACCAGCCGCCCGCGCCCCGCGGCCCGCCGUAGUAGCCCAUCGCCGCCGGCGGCAGCACCUCCAUCCACGGCUCCCUCAUCAUCAUCGCUCAGCUCGGCUCAGCUCGCCUGCAAGAAAAAAUCACCCAGCUUCAGCUACAGAGGGAGAUGUUGACAAAUUAGCACAAAAAGUUGGAUUCAGACGACAGCGGAGUAGCUCAAGAUUCCGCUGAUGAUAACACGAUCGAUCUCCCACCCCCCUUGGUGCGAAUCGGAUGAGGCAGAUUUGGGAGGAAAAAGCUAGGAGCGGAAUCUUUCUGGCUGUAGGACAUGAUUGAGGAGCAAGCAGGGGAGGGCCGGGAUGGAUUCAAGAACAGUACUACUACCACGGCCCCAAUUAACACCAACCGGAACCCCCGAAUUACUCCACCCCGGAACCAAAUUCAGGCCUCCCCGAGCAAACCUCCUCCGAAUUCGCCGGAAAAGGGGCGGAAUUUCACCGGCGCGGGGACCAAAGAAACAGAUAAAAUCGAGGAGCAGAGCAGAGCAGCUCCGAGAAACCAAGAUGACUGACCUGCUCUCGAUCUCCGGCUGCUGCUGCUGCUCAAGGCCGGCUGGAGGACAAAAAGGCGAUCUCCCUGGGUUGCUGCUGGGAUUGCCGGCGCCAGAAAAGAGACGGAUCUCCUCGCUCGCACCCAGAGGCAGCGGCGGCCAGGGGGAGAGUUCUUGGUAGAGAAAUGGGGGAGGGGAGGGGAGGGGAGGGGGGAGUGUCAGCUGGUGAUUGGGUGGAGGUCGUGGCCGACUUUUCCUGGCGUAUAGGAAUUAGGAAAGGGAGGGGAAGCAAAUAGCAGCGGCGGCAUAUUUGUGCGUGCGUGCUCACACACACACACGGGUAGAGUAGAUGCACACUUGGAAUCGCUCUUGGCUUCCCACCUUUUCACCCCCACUACCUGCUACUUGCCCCCCCAAAAACUUUCACCUGAUUGGACAAAUCUCAUUAAAUCCACCAUUUUCUUUUCUUUUUUCAAAAGGAAGAUACACCAUUUUCUUUCGAGCAUCUACAGCCUAACUGUGCUAAUUUGACCCCUCAACCAUCCACGGACGUGUCCGAUGAGCAUUUUUAGCCCUUAUUUGUCCGUGCAUGCAGCCAUGGCCCCACUUUUAUCUUUAUAUUUUCGGUCAGUCACAUGGAUCUGAUUGGUGGAAUGAGGAGAUAGAGAGAAGAGAAGGUGGUCCGUGAUGGACCAAAUCAUAUAAUACGUGGCAACUGACUGGACACGUCUGAACGCUCCUCAUAUUGGUGGCUUCAUAUAUGGGCUGAGUAUGAGGGUUUACAUAUAGCCCGGACAUAUGAGGACCAAGUGAAGGGUCUGAUUGGGUCAGCAUUUUCCUUCCCUCACCUGUCCGGUCAAUGCCUGGGGCGUCCGUCCGGUCAAUUUCAGAGGAUCGGCUGUAGACGUGCUUGCAUAUUUGCUAAUCCAUCCAUCUUGUAGUGCAUACAAGUUUUUUUUAUCAAAGUUAAACUUUGUAAGCUUUAAUCAAGUUUAUAUAGAAAAUUAAGAACAUCUAGGAUAUCAAACAAAUACCACUCUACUCACCAUGGAUACAUUUUUCUUGAUAACUUGGUCAAAAUUUGUGAAGCUUGACUUUUGAGAAAACUAAUGCACGCUAUUUUAUGAGAAGAAGCGGGUAUUGUCUAGUUGGAUCGUGCAGUCACCCCAUGCCAAGCGGGCCCCAUUGAUCAAAAUUCAUGUCAACGGCCGUUUUAGAGAGGCAUCGGGGAGGUCUUUUGUGAAAACAUAUGUAAAGUGGUGGUUUUAUGUCGAUUUGGCUGCAAUUGUUGUGUUUUUUUAGUUAAUCUUGCAUACAUUGGCCUUUGUACAUAUUUUGGCACCCAUAUUUGGGCUAUUUGUCCUCCUCUCUCUGACUGUUUGACUGGGUGGACACACAUAUUAGAGAGGCAUGAGAAUCAUGUUUGAGUGGCAAAUCCGUAUAGAGGAAAAUCUAUUCGGUCAUGACAAAAGCAAGGGAAAAUGUAAACAAAACGCUUAAACUAAACAAAUGCCUUGCGCAUAUGAGACGAUGCCGAGGGCAAACAUCGAAUAUGCCGAUUUAGGCUCAAGAAGUCAAAAGGAGUUGUAUGCGUAUGUGGGCUAAGAAUGUCAGCGACCCGCCUAAGUAAUCUUCUUAAAACCGCUUGUCGAUAAGCUCAUUAGUUAGCUACAUGCUUAGUUAACUAUAAACAAAUGAUGGCAAGUAACAAUCACUCAUUGACUCCUAAGGCACUCCGAUUUGGGUGCUUAAGUUGUGGAGUUUUUGACGAUGAUUAGUUGGGGAGGGCUUGAGAGCUGCAAGUGGUGGGGUUGUGGCAUUGCUGUACUUUGUGGCCAUGAUUGGUCGCCGUUGACAUGUAGCCACCUCGCUUAGGCCAGUUAGCAAUGGCGAUUGGGGGAGGCGGGCACGUUUUGAUGUUGCUAUCAGGCGUUUGGUAAAGCGUGUGCAUGAUUGUCGACGAGGCGUUGGGCGGUCAUUGUUUUAUGGUAGAGUAUGGGAUGCAACUGCAAAUUAACACGUUGCUUUCUCCUUCUUCUUCUACCUGUAGCUAGCAGCAGCCGGUGUCACUCUUGUUUGCUUCUACCUGGUUUACUCGUCGACCUUGAUCGACCGCCUUAAUUAAUUAACGUCGGCAAAAAAUUAUAGUUGUUGCUGGUUCACACCAUCUGAUGAAUUGUUCUAAUCUUUAACAAUACAUGUUUAAUUAGCUCCAUCAUGGAGCAUCUCAAUUUUUGACUGCUUUUAAAAAGGCCUAGAAGUACACUUGCAAGCUACUACGUACCCCGGUUUACGUACAUGGCGUUGAACAUGUGUGGUUUUGCUACAAAAAGAUACUACCCUCUCCAAUCCAUAUUAGUUGUCAUCGAUUUAGUGGGAUUAGAAAUCUUGUUACGCUGGUUAUGUGCAGAUGGUAUUUUUAGAUCUUUUGUACAAAUACUUCCAAAUUGUCAUUUUAGUAUUUCUGUAUGGAUUAGUCUUGUUGUUUUCACGCAUGUUCUUCACAUGGAAAACAAAGCUUUUGGCCCUCUUACUGGUUUUCCUUUGGUAGAGUUCACAUCGGUCUCUGGCCACCAUAAACUUCACCUCAAAACUGAUUCUACUCUACUUGUCUUCAGAGCAUCUGUUGAAAUCAAGGCCUUGAAAGGGGCGCGCUUCUCCGCCGAAGUUUUGUUUGCGUCGCUGCCACACAAAGUGCUUUUGCAGUUGCAAGUGACUAGAUUCUGAAAAUUACGGCUUGCGCCGUUCUCUUUCAUGAGAGAGAAAGGAGAAGAAAGAGUGGUUGUGAUCGCCCCUCGUUUUUUUUUUCUCCUUUUUUUGCCGGGGAUUACCCGUCGUUGUUGGUCCAGAGGCCGGGAGUAAACUUCUCCCCAUAAAAGAGGAGAGGAGAAACAAGUGAAGAACAUCCAGUCGCGGUUCUAGGUCAACAGUUUAGGCAAAGCCAAUUUCAUCAUUUUGUUUACCAAGAGAGAGAGCAAAUAAUAAUGAAGUGCUAGUAGUAUUGAUUUCUUGCCAUUCUUGACUUGAAGUGGUCUCCUGACUCCACAUAGUUUUUUCCACUCUCCUGAGGGCUCUUUCAGAGUAGCUUACUCACAACUACUACUACAGCUCAAUUAGCAUCAGAAGAGAGCUGGCAUAUUCCUCUCCUAGCCUUGUCAUUUGUUUAAUCUCAUUAUUAUUCAUGGCAGAUGCUUGCUUGACUGCACAACAUGACCAGAUGAGAUCGCCACGAAAACAGGAGCAGGGGCCAUAGAAAAAACCCAGCGGAAGUAGGGCCGAAAUAGGGGAGGGGAGGCUCCUUCUGAAUCUGACCAUGAGCAAGCUAGCUAGCAUGGCUAGCUCAUCAUAGAGAUGUCAAUAUCUGCAGCCCAAGAAAGAAUAUUUUUUCGUGGAAAGGGUAACAAUUCAACAACGGCCUAGCUUUGAUUUCAAGCGACGCAACAACAAUCUUUUUAUGCCUUCCUUUGGCACCUUGACCAAUCAUACAGGCACAGAUGUGCGAAAAUGGGCGCGGCGUGGACAGGAGGGGAAUGCUGUGGAAAGAGGCAAAGAAAGCGACACAACCCGCCGAAGAACUGUUCCGCGGGUUCCCCUCUGUAUCGUUUCAAUUUUAUCGAAUUACACGAGAAUAUAAGAAUGAUGUUAGCAAAGAAAGGGACACAGGUUAUCGAAGAACUUGUUCCGCGGGUCCUUCUUCGCGGUUCCAAUUUUAUGGGACGGGGCGGUGGAAUAGAUGUAGUAUGAUAUGUUUUUUGUGUUGCUUGUGAUUAAUCAUGCACUGUGCUUUGAUGGGUUGUUUUCUCUCUACAGCAAGGGAACAAAGUACACAAAACGGUAUUCUCUUGGACCACAAAUGAUUGCUUUCAUAGGAUGCUCUUAUUUUCCAAUACAUUAUGCAUAGGAAACUCAUACCAUUCAGGCCACAGACCACAACUAAGUAGUACUCAGGUAUUAAUAAGAAAAAAAGAUACGCAGCCAACCAACCAAAAAUUCCGGCACGUUUUGGAGUUUGACCUUGUUUUAUUUUCUCUGCAUAUAUGACUCUCAACGAUGCAGACCAUCUCAAUUUCAUAGUAACACAUAUAAAAUUAUUCAAUAAACUAAUGGCUUGCGAUUCAUUUAUAUUAUUAAAAAAUUGGCUUCGGUUGUGGUUUGAACAUUGAACGCAGGUUUGAUGGAGGGUUAAGGGUCAGAUUAGGAGCAGGAGGCGUUUUCUGGGGAGGGGUGAGACAAGAGGCAUGGUCUCUUCCGUGCGCCAUGAGCCACUAUUAACCCCUGGCUUAGCUUCCCAAAUAGGCCACUGCCCCUUGCUUAAUUAGGGCAUUUCGGCCACCGAUCUCAUUUGUUUAUGCUUGUAUUAUGUGUUGGGUGGGCUUUUGGUCUACCUAGAACUCCAGGAAAGUGGCGAGGGUUCAAUUAGCCCUCCGUCUUGAUUUGGUUGCGCAUUGUGUAUUCCAACUUGGGUUUGUUUGGUUUGCCAUAUAGUAUGUUUGUCUUGUGGUGGUGCGGUGAAGUUGGUUAACAAUGUCAUGUGCGUCGUAUUUGUUGAAUGUUUGGUGGGUGGUUUUCGCGGUUCGAUAUAGAUCUCACCUAUCAUCGUGAAAAAGAUGUUGUCUAAUGGUAAAAUUACAAGGUUGUACGGAAAAAAGAAAGAGGAUUUCAUUUAAUGUUCUUAUUCCAUUUACUUGUUUAUGCAAAAUUUUGUUCUUUUCGGCACGAUGGCUCGCAGUGCAAAUGCACACAAUUAAGAAAGAUUGCAAUAUUUUUUGCUCAAGACCGGGUUAGUACAAAUAGCUAGAAGUGACGGUGCUUUUCCUUCUGUUUUCACUAUCAUGCAUGUAAUAAGACUGUAAUAAAUUAUGGUUAAGGCGUUGAUAUAAGCUAUGUUUUACCUCAGAAGGGAAAAUAUAUCUCAUCCAAUCUCGUCAUGGGGCAAAUUACACUAAUUCACCACAAUUGAGGCUAGGUUUUGCUCUUUAAAAAAGAUGCUUCUUAGACAUGACGUCACAUAUACUACUAACCUUAGAUUGAUGACGAGUUGAUAGUUGUUCUGACCAGAGGGGUCCAUCUGUCAAGGCUAAGUUGGGGAGGGGUGAAACACACAGUGUCUCUUCCAUGCACCACGAGCCACUGUUACACGCGCGCCCUUGGCUUAUAGCUUCCUCAAAUAGGCCACUACUCCUUGCUUAAUUAGGGCAUUUCGAUCUCAUUUGUUUAUGUAUGUGCGUGUGUUUGGUCUCCCUUGAACAACGAGAAAGCGGGGUUAGAUCAAUUGGCAUAGCUAAUGAGGCUUCAAUCUUGAUUUGAUACUCCUUAUGCAUUUCCAUCUUCAUUGAGUUUGUUCGCCAUCUUCGUUUACUUUAUCGUGGUGUGGUGAAGUCAGUUUGCUAGUUAACACCGCCAUAUGUGUUGUAUCAGUUCCACUAAAAAGAAGUGUUGUAUCAGUUCCACUAAAAAGAAGUGUUGUAUCAGUUGGAUGUUCACUUGAUGGUCUUCGCAGUUUAAUACAGAUCUCAUAUAUCAUUAGUUAGGGUUCAAUCUUUAUCUGAUUUCACAUUUUGUAGUUUCAACUUGAGUGAGUUUGUUCGCCAUAUUUGUGAAUGGGAUUGUUUUUACAUAUGCAUGUAAGACUAAUCAACUUAAGUUCUAGCAUUUGUAUAACCUGUGUUUUACCUAAGAAGGAAAAAAAUAUAUCACAUGUCGUGAGAAGUCUGGCAUCGAACAACCCUAAAAUCACAAUCCGAACCCGGAUCCAUGUGAUCUCGACUUGAACGUAUAGCAGAAAUGCAUCUUGUACUCCUUCACCCACGUGCCUCUCACGACUGAGGCGAUUAGGGAUUCAUGGCCUCCUGCCAGCGCCGCCGCAGGUCUGCAUCAUCUUCUAUGGCCGGUGGAGCCCGGACCUUGCCGGUGGGAGAGUUUCUGCUCUGUUUCUAGGGGUUUUCUGUCUAUUUUAUGGUUUGUGUCCUGCUCGGGAAGGCGAGACGGCGGUGGGGGCACCCUGAAGAUGGAAUAUGGUUCUCUCCUAGUCCCCGUUGUCCCAGCGAUGCGUUUAGCGGCAGAUGGAGGUGUAUAUUUGAUGAAUCUCGCAGGAUUCGGUCGAUGUUUAUUUGUCGUAGAUCUAUUCGGAUCCGGUCUUCGUUCAUCCGUGUUCAUGUGUCUAUAGGUUGAAUACUUCCGAUCUACAUGUCUCUUUAUUGGGGGCAGUCGUUCUGAUGCGUUGGUCGUGUGAGAUCUUAGCACAUGACUUCCUAAUUGUCUACUACAAUAAGGUUAGUUCGACCCCAGUAAAAGAGAGUUGAUGACGGCGGCACACGUUUUUAACUCGCUCCAAUGAUUGUAGGUGUCGCUAUGCGGUCUACGGACCUGAAUGUAAUUUUUGUUACUUCUGAUGUUUUUUACAGUGCCAUAAUUAUUAAUUAGUACUCCUAGAUCAUAAUUUUUUCUGAAAAAAAAAUACAGCAGAAAAUCACAACAUUUUUGUUUCGAAUUUUACAUGCACGUACAUGUAUUCGCACUCAACGCUCAUUUGGGUUGCACAAAAAUUUCUGUAUUUGACGGCCCUACAAACCAGUGUCAAUGUGCCAUUGUGUGGUGUAGUUAGCAGAGCAUGCACAGUCCGAGAGAUGGGACAGUAGUAGCUGUCAGAAUGAGUGGCCCCAGCACUGAAUCGUGGUGGGCUCCCUAGGCUCGUCAUGUGGUCAUGUGGAGGGGCCACUACGCAGGGACCCCACCAACAGCCAAACCAGGGUCACGAGUAAUGCAUGAGUGUUUCCAUGUGAAGAGAGAGGUGAGAGGUCCCGCAGCAAAAAAAAAAACUGGAGAGGGAGGAAGCAAAGCAAAGGCGGGUAGACUAGAAUGGGCUUGCUGCGAGUACGGUAUGAUGGGCUGGGCCUGCUGAGCUGGACGGGCCAGAGGCAACAGACUGGGGGAGUGAUAGUAUGGGUGAUGGGCCCGUUCUCAUGUGGCUAGGCCAGCCUCAUGACCAAAUUUGUAUCCCACAUUUUGUGAACUUUGAGUAACUAGUCAACUACACGUGCAAAAGCACGCGAUGCAUAGUUAUGUACACAUCGGCGUGGUCAUGCUUAUACUCAAAAUGCAUUGCAACAUUUCUUUCUCCUUCUAUACGCUGUGAUUGUAAAAAGUGCACAGAAAAAUAAUUACAGGAAAACUUUAUAAUGUGAAACAUACGCCUGAUCCAUUCGGCGCAUUAGAUAGUGAAGAAGAUAGAAAGAUGGAGAGCAUUCUAUGGUGGGUCCAGUCUGAGAUAAGAUGGGUAUAGUGGCUUGCCCAUUCAUUUUUUUUAUUACAAAGGGUUCAAGGCAAAGCUCACACAUAAGUGGGGCUCACACAUAGCAGCUUUUACUGCAUGCUGGCAGAGAUUGAGCAAAUGCUAGCCAUCCGAUGCAUGCAAAUGAACGGCCAAUAUUGCAGGGAUUCGCCUGCACUUUUAACCCUUCGAUUUAGAAGCUAGACGACAGAGAUUGAGGUGCCAUGGCGGGAAACCAAGGCAAAGCAAAAUUUAAAAACUGCUGUAUUAUUUUUUUUAGCGUAAAAAAACUGCUGUACUAUAGUAGUAGUGAGUAAUAAAAGGCCUUUAUUCUUAAAAAAAUCCCCAAGAAAAAAAAUGGCCCUUUGAAGAGGGGCAGCGCUAUACCUCGCUUGCUGUGGCACGUCUAGGUAUCGCUUCAUGCCACACCUAACAUAGGCUCGUCACAAGAUAGGCUAAUGGUUAUUCGUUAGUUUAUUUAUUAUUUGUUUUCCUUUUUUUAGAAACUUUCAAUCUAUUCAUCUCAAAUCAUGAUAAUACAAAGAACACCAAAGAUAAUAAAAAUUACAACCAGCUCCGUGGACUACCUAGCGAUGACUACAAGCACUGGAGCGAACCAAAGGCACGCCGCCAUCGUCGCCUCUCCCUCGCCGGAACCGAGCAAAUCUUAUUGUAUUAGAUAAUUGGGAAGUCUUCAUGGUAAGGCCCCACAGGACCAGCGCACCAGAGCAGCAACCAUCGCGGACGAAGAAAGUCGUAGAUCGGAAGCAUCAAACCUGUAAUUAAACACCCAAACCACGAUGAACAAAGAUCAUAUCCAAACAGAUCCACCGGAGAUCAGCACCAACUGAAUCUCCGAGAUCCAACAAAGACACACCUCCAUACACCCUCCGACGAUGCUAGAUGCAUCAUCGGGAUGGUGAUAGAACGUGGGAGACAUUAUUCCGAUCGAGGGACAUCGUUGCUGCCACAUAGCCCCAUGAAGACAUUGAACCUAAACAGAACGAGAACGGGGGCCCUCCCGCCAGNNNNNNNNNNNNNNNNNNNNNNNNNNNNNNNNNNNNNNNNNNNNNNNNNNNNNNNNNNNNNNNNNNNNNNNNNNNNNNNNNNNNNNNNNNNNNNNNNNNNNNNNNNNNNNNNNNNNNNNNNNNNNNNNNNNNNNNNNNNNNNNNNNNNNNNNNNNNNNNNNNNNNNNNNNNNNNNNNNNNNNNNNNNNNNNNNNNNNNNNNNNNNNNNNNNNNNNNNNNNNNNNNNNCAAUGGCCCAAAGGCCAUUGGAGAUGGUGCGGGCCGCUGGCGGCACCGAUGGGUGGAAGAGGAAAGUUCGGGAUUUUUUUCCUUGUACAGGAGGAAAGAGAAGUAUUUGUUUUUCUUCUUUUUUUCCAUUUUUCAAACACAAUGUUGCUUAAAAUUCUGCAAGUGUUCAUCAUGCAUUUAAGAAAAUGUUUAUGCAGUGCAAAUAUAUUGUUUCCGCACUUUUAAAAAAUGUGCACCAUUCCAAAAAUGUUCAUGACAUUUUAAAUAAAUACAUGCAUUUCAAAAAAAAUUCAAACGUGACUUCUUUUUAGAAAACCUUUAUACAAUGUUAAAAAUAUUGGCAUAAUUUAAAUAUUCCUAAAUGUUUCAUACCAUUCAAAACAAGUGUUUGUGAAAUUUUAGAAAAUGUUCACGUGUUUCAAAAUAUUUUCAUGACAAAAAUUAUCCAUUCUAGAAAUCAUAUUUACGUAAUUUAACUAAAAUAUUUCUUACCAUUCAAAAAAAUGUUCGUAACAUUUAAAAAAAAUUCAUAACACUUAUAAUAUAUUUUGCAUGUUUUUAAAACAAUUAAUGUCAUUUAAGAAAAAUGUUCAAUAUGUAUUAAAAAUGCUGAAUAUGUAUUAAAAAAACUAAAUGUGCAUUUGACAAAUGUUUUCAAUGUGUAUUUCGGAAAAAUGUUCAAGGUGUACUUAAAAGAUGUUAAACGAGUUCUGGCAAAAUGUUCAACGUGUAUAUAAAAAUAUUCAACAUGUAUUUGGAAAAAGUUUGGAUGUAUUUAAAAAAUGAAGUAAAAACAAACAGAAAAUCAUAAAUAAAAAGCAAAAAAAACUAAUGAAACCCGAUCAAAAAUAGAUAGGAACAAAAGGAGCAGAAAAACUACAAAUAUAACUCACAUGAAGAAAAAAAAUAUAAGAACAACAUUUUCUUUUAUUUACAGGAAUUUUGAAAACAAUGAAUCAUAAGUCAUAUGAGUUGUUACUACAUAGAUUGUUUGAUAUGUAAGAUUAGAAUUCGUACGAUGUUUUCUAUACAUCACUGAAGUAAAUGGCAUCUAAACUUUCGGGAAAAAAAAUUAUGGCUCGUGGGCUCGUAUGUCUUUCCUAUGGUGAAAUCAAACACCCUUUUGUGUCAAUAGAAGAGGAUGAGUCACUACAAUGCCACAAUAAGCAAUAAUAUUGAUUUAGAUUUUGAAUCUGUGGAAGCCUAGCCUGCAUAGUCGUGCUAUAUUACAUGACAAAUACACAGGAGAGAGAUUAUUAAACACUAAAACAAGCAACAACAAAGAGAGAUUUUAAAAAGUAUGUAGCAAUAUUAAUAAAUAUGUUUUGUACUACAUGGUGCUCUAGAAAACUCAUAGUAGAAUUUCUCUAACACCAACUAUGAAUAUAUAAUGGUACAGUUGGAACCGUUGAAAAGAAAAAUAAUAUGCUGAACUUAUUUCUUUAUUUUAUUUUACAAUAAUAUAGAAUGAUUCUCGGGAUUUGUCGCUUAGAGAUAGUAUCCAUGUCUACACCCCAAAUAUUUCACAACAACAAAAUCUAGAAAUCUUAAUUAAAAUGGAUAUUUUGGUUGUUUAGUUACCUUGUCUAUGUGGAUAUUUUAUUUCUUAAUCUCUCCAUUCACAUGUUUAUUUUGUUAUUCCAUUGAAAUAUAACAUAAAAAAUAUUGGAUCGCCUCUGCUAAACUCUCACCAUUGUUUGCAAACAUAUAAAUUUAUAGUUGUGCAUCUAACACCAAUGGUCGAUAAUUUAAAUGUUGAUGUUGCAUGCUGAUCUUACAUCGCAUAACACUAUCUACUACGCCCAAACAAUUGGCAUGGCCCUAAAUAUAGCACGGUGCCUUUGAAAAUGGCAUAAUAGUAACUCACACAUAAAUUAAAAUAUUAUUAUAGGGGUUUCCUACAAUUGCGAUAUUUAUAGGCUAAUUUAUUUGUAGUGGUUCUGGAAUUAACUAUUUUUAUAUGGAAUGAUAUGAAUAUCCAUGAAAGCAUAUGUUUAAUUUCAAGACGCGAUCAAUUGCCUAAAGAAGAUGCCCUUGCAUUUGCGAGGGCCACUCGGCUAGUUUGAAGANNNNNNNNNNNNNNNNNNNNNNNNNNNNNNNNNNNNNNNNNNNNNNNNNNNNNNNNNNNNNNNNNNNNNNNNNNNNNNNNNNNNNNNNNNNNNNNNNNNNNNNNNNNNNNNNNNNNNNNNNNNNNNNNNNNNNNNNNNNNNNNNNNNNNNNNNNNNNNNNNNNNNNNNNNNNNNNNNNNNNNNNNNNNNNNNNNNNNNNNNNNNNNNNNNNNNNNNNNNNNNNNNNNNNNNNNNNNNNNNNNNNNNNNNNNNNNNNNNNNNNNNNNNNNNNNNNNNNNNNNNNAUGUGACAUGCAUUGCGUCGAACUGUCAACGCUUCACACAAGUACAAGCUAACGAGUGACCAAGUAUUGUUUUUUGGUUCAUUUCUUUUUUCUGGGUCCUUCUCUUUUUUCCAAAAUUCACAAAUUAAACUAUAUAUAAAAACUUCAAAUGAGUAUUCAUUUUCAAGAAGUUCAGAUUCAAAAAAUAAUAGGUAUUUUCUAAAAAAAUGUAUUUUCAAAAGUUAUUUGGAAUUUAAGAAACUGUCAGUGUAAAAAAUUACCGUUUUCAAAAUUUGUCCACAAAUUCAAAAAUGUCUAAAAAUACCGUCUAAAAAAGUGAUCCUAAUUUUGAAAAAUGUUCAUAAUUUUAAAAAGAAUUUUUGUUUGCGAAAAAACGAUCAAACUUUGUUCGCCUUUUUACAAAUUUGUUCAUAAAUUAAAAAUAUUUCAGAAAAACACCGACUAGAAAAUUUGACCCAAUUUUGAAAAAUUAUCAAAAUUUAAAAUAGGUUGUCUUUUCUAAAAAAAAUUCAAACUUUGUUCAUGUUUUUAAAAGCAUUCAGGUUUUAUAGAAAAUAUUCAUAUUUCAAAAAAUGUUGGUAUUAAAAAUCCACAUUACCUUUAUAUGGCCUACAUUACCCGUCGCUAUCUUUCAGACUUAUAAAGGUUGGAGUUGGUGGUGAGUUAACAUGUGGGACCAACAGCCUUCACAAAUAAACUAAUGUACCUCUACCCAUAUUGGGAUUACCAAUCUUCCAAAAAUAUAAAUAAACAAAUACAUUUCUAACCUAACACAAAUAAACAAAUACACUACUACUUUCACGUGAGACCAACACUUACAGAAGGCACAAUUAACAAAUGCAGAAAUGUGAGUCCAACUCAAAAUAAUGCUCUUAUUUUUUAGUUAACCAAGUAAUUUUGGUGUUAUAUCACAGAACAAAAGAGUUAACAAAUUGCAAUUCAAAAUGACGAUAGAUCUUGUCCUCCUAUUUGGUCCACGACCUUGUGCAGUCAACUUAUCAAUGUCUAUUGUUAUACGUUUCAAUAUUCUAAAUGUUUUGUCUGUCAAAGGACAUACUAUGGUUACUUGAGAUUCUCUAAUGCAUGAGACAUGAUAUUUUUUAUUGUAUUUUUGUUCUUUUUAAUAGUGAACGACGCACAAAGACCGCAUGAUGCUAACAUAUUUCGAUGAUUUACUAAGCCAGUGACCUAACUCCUCAUAUUUUACAAUCUCGUAGCAACGCACGGUCAUUGUGCUAGUGGUAAUAGAGUGUACAGUACCUCGGUCUACAUUGUCACUGCGGGAACUCUUUUGCAAAAAAAGAAAAGAAAACGUGCAACAUGGAAACAUGUUAUAUUCACUGGCCCGCUCAAACUCGCUUAUGCGAAUGCUGGACUGUUUGCCGCAACGAGCGGCAAAUUGGUGCAAAGGCCGGUCCCUCAAGAAAAAAAACUUACAAGGCCCGGAAGAUGAUAGAGGGGGUGAACCCAUAUAUUUGAUUACUACUAAAAUAUGGAGGGGCUUGAAAACAAGCCCAAACUGCUGGGUGAUAGCAUCUCCCUGAAAGUGAAUGAAGGGAGCCCCUAUUUGAUGCCCUUUGCGUCAAUUUGGCGGCGUUACGCAUAGAGAGGGAGCCUGACUAGACCGGCCCAUCAAGUUCUACCGUGGGAUUAAAAAGAUAGGAGAAAAAGGAAACGCGCGCGACCCUGGAUUCGAACCAAAGACAAACCGCGCACUAAGACGCGCUCCUAGACACUCCAACUAAGCAGUAUUAUUGUUAAUAAAGCAGUGCAUAGCUUAAAGAACUAACCAUAUAUGUGGAACCGGAAUUGUCUACUGUAGCGAACCGGAACAAGUAUUGUAGCGAACCGAAAGUAGCUAUUGAAGCAAAUCUGAAUUAGUUACUGGGGUGAACCAAAAAUUUGAAAAAGCAGAAAAAUUAAACAAAAAAUGUUGGUUUUUGAAAAACCUAAAGAAAUUGAAUUUGCGAACAAACUAUGAAAUUCUAAACAAAUGUUGAAACCAUCAACUUUUUGUAUUUUUUCACAAAUAUUUGAAAUGUAGAAUAUUUCAUGAUAUUUAUUGAAUUGUGAACAAAAAUUUAAAAUGGAGCAUUUCAUGAAAUUCCGAACAUAAAUUUAAAACCACGGAUAUUUUUUGAAUUUGUGAACAAACAAUUUAAAAUGGAGCAUUUCAUGAAAUUCCAAACAAAAAUUUAAAAACACGGACAUUUUUUGAAUUUGUAAACAAAAAAAUUAAAAUGGAGCAUUUCAUGAAAUUCCGAAAAAAAAUUGAAAUUACGAACAUUUUCUGAAGUCCUUGAACAUUUUCUGGAAUGCGGUCAUUUUUUAAAUUUCUGACCAAAUUUGUAAUCACGAAAAAGUGGAUCAUUUCAUGAAAUUCCGAAAAAAAUUUGAAAUCGCGAAUAUUUUUUGAAAUUCUUGAACAUUUUCUGAAAAUGCAAAAAUAUUUCAAAUUUCUGACCAAAAUCUGUAAUCGCGAAAAAAGGAACAAUUUUUGAAAUUCUUGAACAUUUUCUGCAUUGCGAACAUUUGUUUUUAUUUUCAGACAAAAAUUUGAAACCACAAACAUACCUUAGUUUUUUUUAAAUGAAUAAUUUUUCAACUUGUGAAUAGUAAAAGAAUAAAAGAAACAUAUUUUGGAAUCUUGAAUAUUUUUUCAACUUGUGAACAUAGUUUAAAGACAAGAACAUUUUUUGAAAUUCAUGUACAUAUAUUUUUUAUACUAGAACAUUUUUUGGAAUUUAUGAACAAAAUUUGAAAGGAGGAAUAUUUGUUAAAAAUCUGAUUUUUAAAAAAAAUUCGAAAAAAAUAUAUUAAAAUGAAAAUCAACAUGAAGAAGAGAAAACGAAAAAUCAAACAAAAAGUGAAAGAAAAAAGAAACAUAAAAGAGAAAGAAACAAAUAAACGAAAGAAAAAACAAAAAAGGAAAAAUAAAACCAAAACAAAAAUGGGAAUCCAUAAAAAACUGGAGUUGAACCUUCUCAAAAUCAGGAUCCGUGUACACGCUAAACAGCUAACAUGAGCCGGCGGCCCACUGCAAUCGCUCCGUCGUCGAUCGCUUGUUGCAAAACAUCGACAUCUUAACGCAGUGUGCGUCCGUUAAGAAAUUCUGUGAAUGAAAGCAUGCCUUCUGCUAGUAGGCCAUGAACCCGUUAGCAUAUGAAGAGUUUCAGGAAUUUCAUUUUUUUCAAGAGAGACUUUCAGGAUUUCCUGAACAACAAUAAUUUUUUUGACGUCUGGGAGAAAGAAAAGGCGCAGGCGAAUUUGAUGAUAUUCUGCGAUGCGAUGAUGAUCGAUGCAGUAGCUAGCUAGCUAUACUAGUGUGGUUCGUCAACGGCUAAAGAAUGGUGGCCGGAAUCUUUGUGGUUUUGCCUGCGAGAGCGUGCCAUGCAUUAGGCCAACUCUGACGCGCGAUCUCAAACAGACGUUCAUUUUGUCCGGAUUUCGUCCUUUGGGGUGGGGAUGGGCCGUGUCCGUCCGGAUUUGGAUUUGCGUCGGCCGGGCGCCCAACGCGCGACCGCUGUUGGGAAACGUAGUAGAAAUUCAAAAAAUUUCUACGUGUCACCAAGAUCUAUCUAUGGAGAAACCAGCAACGAGGGGAAGGAGAGUGCAUCUACAUACCCUUGUAGAUCGCUAAGCGGAAGCGUUCAAGAGAACGGGGUUGAUGGAGUCGUACUCGUCGUGAUCCAAAUCACCGAUGAUCCUAGUGCCGAACGGACGGCACCUCCGUGUUCAACACACGUGCAGCCCGGUGACGUCUCCCAUGCCUUGAUCCAGCAAGGAGAGAGGGAGAGGUUAGGGAAGACUCCAUCCAGCAGCGGCACGACGGCGUGGUGGUGGUGGAGAAGCGUGGUACUCUAGCAGGGCUUCGCCAAGCACCGCAAGAAACGAGGAGAAAGACAGGUAGGGCUGCGCCAACAAGAGGAGAGGAACUCAUGUGUAUUGGGCAGCCCAAACCUCAACUAUAUAUAGAGGGAGGGGAGGGGCUGCGCCCCCACCUAGGAUUCCCUCCCUAGGGGUGGCGGCAGCCCCCUAGAUCCCAUCUAGGGGCGGCCAAGGGGAGGGGAGAGGGGGAGGCGCACCAGGGUGGGCCUUAGGGCCCAUCUGCCCUAGGGUUUGCCCCCUUCCCCUCUUCCNNNNNNNNNNNNNNNNNNNNNNNNNNNNNNNNNNNNNNNNNNNNNNNNNNNNNNNNNNNNNNNNNNNNNNNNNNNNNNNNNNNNNNNNNNNNNNNNNNNNNNNNNNNNNNNNNNNNNNNNNNNNNNNNNNNNNNNNNNNNNNNNNNNNNNNNNNNNNNNNNNNNNNNNNNNNNNNNNNGGGGGGGCGCACCAGCCCACCUGGGGCUGGUCCCCUCCCACACUUGGCCCAUGCAGCCCUCCGGGGCUUGUGACCCCACUUGGUGGACCCCCGGGACCCUCCCGGUGGUCCCGGUACGUUACCGAUAAAACCCGAAACUUUUCCGGUGAUCAAAGCAGGACUUCCCAUAUAUAAAUCUUUACCUCCGGACCAUUUCAGAACUCCUCGUGACGUCCGGGAUCUCAUCCGGGACUCCGAACAACAUUCGGUAACCACAUACAAACUUCCUUUAUAACUCUAGCGUCAUCGAACCUUAAGUGUGUAGACCCUACGGGUUCGGGAACCAUGCAGACAUGACCGAGACGUUCUCCGGUCAAUAACCAACAGCAGGAUCUGGAUACCCAUGUUGGCUCCCACAUGCUCCACGAUGAUCUCAUCAGAUGAACCACGAUGUCAAGGACUUAAUCAAUCCCGUAUGCAAUUCCCUUUGUCCAUCGGUACGAUACUUUCCCGAGAUUCGAUCGUCGGUAUCCCGAUACCUUGUUCAAUCUCGUUACCGGCAAGUCUCUUUACUCGUUCCGUAACACAUCAUCCCAUGAUCAACUCCUUGGUCACAUUGUGCACUUAUAAUGAUGUCCUACCGAGUGGGCCCAGAGAUACCUCUCCGUUUACACGGAGUGACAAAUGCCAGUCUCGAUUUGUGCCAACCCAACAGACACUUUCGGAGAUACCCGUAGUGCACCUUUAUAGUCACCCAGUUACGUUGUGACGUUUGGCACACCCAAAGUAUUCCUACGGUAUCCGGGAGUUGCACAAUCUCAUGGUCUAAGAAAAUGAUACUUGACAUUAGAAAAGCUUUAGCAUACGAAUUACAUGAUCUUGUGCUAGGCUUAGGAUUGGGUCUUGUCCAUCACAUCAUUCUCCUAAUGAUGUGAUCCCGUUAUCAACGACAUCCAAUGUCCAUGGUCAGGAAACCAUAACCAUCUAUUGAUCAACGAGCUAGUCAACUAGAGGCUUACUAGGGACAUGGUGUUGUCUAUGUAUCCACACAUGUAUCUGAGUUUCCUAUCAAUACAAUUCUAGUAUGGAUAAUAAACGAUUAUCAUGAACAAGGAAAUAUAAUAAUAAGCAAUUUAUUAUUGCCUCUAGGGCAUAUUUCCAACAGUCUCCCACUUGCACUAGAGUCAAUAAUCCAGUUCACAUCGAUAUGUGAUUAACACUCAAGGUCACAUCCCCAUGUGACUAACACCCAAAGAGUUCUGGGUUUGAUCAUGUUAUGCUUGUGAGAGAGGUUAUAGUCAACGGGUCUGAACCUUUCAGAUCCGUGUGUGCUUUACAAAUCUCUAUGUCAUCUCCUAGAUGCAGCUACCACGUUCUAUUUGGAGCUAUUCCAAAUAACUGUUCUACUAUACGAAUCCAGUUUACUACUCAGAAUAAUCUGGAUUAGUGUCAAAGUUUGCAUCGGCGUAACCCUUUACGACGAACUCUUUUGCCACCUCCAUAAUCGAGAAAAUUCCUUAGUCCACUAGUUACUAAGGAUAACUUUGACCGCUGUCCUGUGAUCCAUUCUUGGAUCACUCUUGUACCCCUUGACUGACUCAUGGCAAGGCACACUUCAGGUGCGGCACACAGCAUAGCAUACUGUAGAGAGCCUAUGACAAAAGCAUAGGGGACGACCUUCGUCCUUCCUCUUUCUUCUGCCGUGGUCGAGCUUUAAGUCUUAACUUCAUACCUUACAACUCAGGCAAGAACUCCUUCUUUGACUGAUCCAUCUUGAACACCUUCAAGAUCAUGUCAAGGUAUGUGCUCAUUUGAAAGUACCAUUAAGCGUUUUGAUCUAUCCUUAUAGAUCUUGAUGCUCAAUGUUCAAGUAGCUUAAUCCAGGCUUUCCAUUGAAAAACACUUUCCAAAUAACCCUAUAUGCUUUCCAGAAAUUCUACGUCAUUUCUGAUCAACAAUAUGUCAACAAUAUAUAUUCAUCAGAAAUUCUAUAGUGCUCCCACUCACUUCUUUGGAAAUACAAGUUUCUCAUAAACUUUGUAUACACCCAAAACUUUGAUCAUCUUAUCAAAGCAUACAUUCCAACUCCGAGAUGCUUACUCCAGUUCUUAGAAGGAUUGCUGGAGCUUUGCAUACUUGUUAGCAUCUUUCAGGAUUGACAAAACCUUCCGGUUGUAUCACAUACAACCUUUCCUCAAAAACCGUCGAGGAAACAAUGUUUUGGCAUCCUAUUUGCAAGAUUUCAUAAAUAAUGCAGUAAUUGCUAGUAUAAUUCCAACAGACUUUUAGCAUCGCUACGAGUGAGAAAGUCUCAUCGUAGUCAACUCCUUGAACUUGUUGGGAAACAUCUUAACGACAUGUCGAGCUUUCUUAAUGGUGAUACUUACCAUCAUUGUCUGUCUUCCUUUUAAAAUCCAUAUGUACCUAACAGCCUUACGACCAUCAAGUAGUUCUUCCAAAGUCUACACUCUGUUUUCAUACAUGGAUCCUCUCUCAGAUUUUAUGGCCUCGAGCCAUUUAUCGGAAUCCGGGCCCACCAUCGCUUCUCCAUAGCUUGUAGGUUCAUUGUUGUCUAGCAACAUGACUUCCAAGACAGGAUUACGUACCACUCUGAAGUAGUACGCAUCCUUGUCAUCCCACGAGGUUUGAUAGUGACUUGAUCUGAAGUUUCAUGAUCACUAUCAUAAGCUUCCACUUCAGUUGGUGUAGGUGCCACAGGAACAACUCCCUGUGCCCUGCCACACACUAGUUGAAGAGACGGUUCAAUAACCUUAUCAAGUCUCCAUCAUCCUCCCACUCAAUUCUUUCGAGAGAAACUUUUCCUCGAGAAAGGACCCGAUUCUAGAAACAAUCCCUUAUUGCUUUCGGAUCUGAGACAGGAGGUAUACCCAACUGUUUUGGGUGUCCUAUGAAGAUGCAUUUAUCCGCUUUGGGUUUGUGCUUAUCAGCCUGAAACUUUUUCACAUAAGCGUCGCAGCCCCAAACUUUUAAGAAAUGACAACUUAGGUUUCUCUAAACCAUAGUUCAUACGGUGUCAUCUCAUCGGAAUUACGUGGUGCCCUAUUUAAAGUGAAUGUGGUUGUCUCUAAUGCCUAACCCAUAAACUAUCGUGGUAAUUCGAUAAGAGACAUCAUGGUAUGCAUCAUAUCCAAGAGGGUGCAGUUAUGAUGUUCGGACACACCAUCACACUAUGGUGUUCCAGGCUGUAUUAGUUGUGAAACAAUUUCCACAAUGUCUUAAUUCUGUACCAAACUCGUAAUUCAUAUAUUCAUCUCUAUGAUCAUAUCAUAGAUCUUUUAUCCUCUUGUCACGACGAUCUUUCAACUUCAUCCUGAAAUUACUUGAACCUUUCAAUAAUUCAGACUCGUGAUUCAUUAAGUAAAUAUAGUCAACAUCUACUCAAAUCAUCUGUGAAGUAAGAACAUAACGAUAUCCACUACACGCCUCAGCACUCAUUGGACUGCACACAUCAAAAUGUAUUACUUCCAACAAGUUGCUUUCUAGUUCCAUUUUACUGAAAACGAGGCUUUCAGUCAUCUUGCCCAUGUGGUAUGAUUUGCAUGUCUCAAGCGAUUCAAAAUCAAGUGAGUCCAAACGGUCCAUUUGCAUGGAGUUUCUUCAUGCAUAUACACCAAUAGACAUGGUUCGCAUGUCUCAAACUUUUCAAAACGAGUGAGCCCAAAGAUCCAUCAACAUGGAGCUUCUUCAUGUGUUUUAUACCGAUAUGACUUACGUGGAAGUGCCACAAGUAGGUGGUACUAUCAUUACUAUCUUAUAUCUUUUGGCAUGAACAUGUGUAUCACUACGAUCGAGAUUCAAUAAACCAUUCAUUUUAGGUGCAAGACCAUUGAAGGUAUUAUUCAAAUAAACAGAGUAACCAUUAUUCUCCUUAAAUGAAUAACCGUAUUGCGAUAGACAUAAUCCAAUCAUGUCUAUGCUCAACGCAAACACCAACCUCGAUGGAAGAGGGAGCGUGCGAUGCUUGAUCACAUCAAGCUUGGAAAAACUUCCAACACAUAUUGCCAGCUCACCUUUAGCUAGUCUCCGUUUACUCCGCAGUCUUUUAUUUCGAGUUUACUAACACUUAGCAACCGAACCGGUAUCUAAUACCAUGGUGCUACUAGGAGUACUAGUAAAGUACACAUUAACACAAUGUAUAUCCAAUAUACUUCUAUCGACCUUGCCAGCCUUCUCAUCUACCAAGUAUCUAGGGUAAUUCUGCUCCAGUGGCUGUUCCUCUUUAUUACAAGAGCACUUAGUCUCGGGUUUGGGUUCAACCUUGGGUUUCUUCACUAGAGCAGCAACUGAUUUGCCGUUUCAUGAAGUAUCCCUUCUUGCCCUUGCCCUUCUUGAAACUAGUGGUUUCACCAACCAUCAACAAUUGAUGCUCCUUCUUGAUUUCUACUUUUGUGGUGUCAAACAUCGCGAAUAUCUCAAGGAUCAUCACGUAUGUCCCUGAUAUAUUAUAGUUCAUCACGAAGCUCUAGCAGCUUGGUGGUAAUGACCUCAGAGAAACAUCACUAUCUCAUCUGGAAGAUCAACUCCCACUCGAUUCAAAUGAUUGUUGUACUCAGACAAUCUGAGCACAAGCUCAACAAUUGAGCUUUUCUCCCUUAGUUUGCAGGCUAAGAAAAUCGUCGGAGGUCUUAUACCUCUUGACGUGGGCACGAGCCUGAAAUCCCAAUUUCAGUCCUCAAAACAUCUCAUAUGUUUCACGACGUUUCAAGACGUCUUCGGUGCCUCAACUCUAAACCGUUUAACUGAACUAUCACAUAGUUAUCAAAUGUGUAUGUCAGAUGUUCGCAACAUCCACAGACGACGUUCGAGGUUCAGCACACUGAGCGGUGCAUUAAGGACAUAGGACUUCUAUGAAGAAAUGAGGACAAUCCUCAGUUUACGGACUUAGUCCGCAUAAUUGCUACUAUCAUCUUUCAACUAAAUUUUCUCUAGGAACAUAUCUAAACAGUAGAACUAAAGCGCGAGCUACGACAUAAUUUGCGAAGACCUUUUGACUAUGUUCAGGAUAAUUAAGUUCAUCUUAUGAACUCCCACUCAGAUAGACAUACCUCUAGUCAUCUAAGUGAUUACAUGAUCCGAGUCAACUAGGCCGUGUCCGAUCAUCACGUGAGACGGACUAGUCAUCAUCGGUGAACAUCUUCAUGUUGAUCGUAUCUACCAUACGACUCAUGCUCGACCUUUCGGUCUUCUGUGUUCCGAGGCCAUGUCUGUACAUGCUAGGCUCGUCAAGUCAACCUAAGUGUUUGCAUGUGUUCCGAGGCCAUGUCUGUACAUGCUAGGCUCGUCAACACCCGUUGUAUUCGAACAUAAGAAUCUAUCACACCCGAUCAUCACGUGGUGCUUCGAAACGACGAACUUCCGCAACGGUGCACAGUUAGGGGGAACACUUUCUUGAAAUUUUAAUGAGGGAUCAUCUUAUUUACUAUCGUCGUUCUAAGCAAAUAAGAUGUAUAAACAUGAUAAACAUCACAUGCAAUCAAAUAAUAGUGACAUGAUAUGGCCAAUAUCAUAUAGCUCCUUUGAUCUCCAUCUUGGGGCUCCAUGAUCAUCUUGUCACCGGCAUGACACCAUGAUCUCCAUCAUCAUGAUCUCCAUCAUCGUGUCUCUAUGAAGUUGCUCGCCAACUAUUACUUCUACUACUAUGGCUAUCGGUUAUCAAUAAAGUAAAGUAAUUACAUGGCGUUGUUCAAUGACACGCAGGUCAUACAAUAAAGACAACUCCUAUGGCUCCUGCCGGUUGUCAUACUCAUCGACAUGCAAGUCAUGAUUCCUAUUACAAGAACAUGAUCAAUCUCAUACAUCACAUAUAUCAUUCAUCACAUCCUUUUGGCCAUAUCACAUCACAUAGCAUACCCUGCAAAAACAAGUUAGACGUCCUCUAAUUGUUGUUUGCAUAUUUUACGUGGCUGCUAUGGGUUUCUAGCAAGAACAUUUCUUACCUACGCAAAAACCACAACGUGAUAUGCCAAUUGCUAUUUACCCUUCAUAAGGACCCUUUUCAUCGAAUCCGAUCCGACUAAAGUGGGAGAGACAGACACCCUCUAGCCACCUUAUGCAACUAGUGCAUGUCAGUCGGUGGAACCAGUCUCACAUAAGAGUACGUGUAAGGUCGGUCCGGGCCGCUUCAUCCCACAAUGCCGCCGAAUCAAGAUUGGACUAGUAACGGUAAGCAUAUUGAACAAAAUCAAUGCCCACAACUACUUUGUGUUCUACUCGUGCAUAGAAUCUACGCAAUAGACCUAGCUCAUGAUGCCACUGUUGGGGAACGUAGCAGAAAUUCAAAAUUUUCCUACGUGUCACCAAGAUCUAUCUAUGGAGAAACCAGCAACGAGGGGAAGGAGAGUGCAUCUACAUACCCUUGUAGAUCGCUAAGCGGAAGCGUUCAAGAGAACGGGGUUGAUGGAGUCGUACUCGUCGUGAUCCAAAUCACCGAUGAUCCUAGUGCCGAACGGACGGCACCUCCGUGUUCAACACACGUACAGCCCGGUGACGUCUCCCAUGCCUUGAUCCAGCAAGGAGAGAGGGAGAGGUUAGGGAAGACUCCAUCCAGCAGAAGCACGACGGCGUGGUGGUGGUGGAGAAGCGUGAUACUCCAGCAGGGCUUCGCCAAGCACCGCAAGAAACGAGGAGAAAGACAGGUAGGGCUGCGCCAACAAGAGGAGAGGAACUCAUGUGUAUUGGGCAGCCCAAACCUCAACUAUAUAUAGGGGGAGGGGAGGGGCUGCACCCCCACCUAGGGUUCCCUCCCUAGGGGUGGCGACAGCCCCCUAGAUCCCAUCUAGGGGCGGCCAAGGGGAGGGGAGAGGGAGAGGCGCACCAGGGUGGGCCUUAGGGCCCAUCUGCCCUAGGGUUUGCCCCUUCCCCUCUUCCUUGUGCCUUGGGCCUUGGUGGGGGGGGGGGCGCACCAGCCCACCUGGGGCUGGUCCCCUCCCACACUUGUCCCAUGCAGCCCUCCGGGGCUUGUGGCCCCACUUGGUGGACCCCCGGGACCCUCCCGGUGGUCCCGGUACAUUACCGAUAAAACCCGAAACUUUUCCGGUGACCAAAACAGGACUUCUCAUAUAUAAAUCUUUACCUCCGGACCAUUCCGGAACUCCUCGUGACGUCCAGGAUCUCAUCCGGGACUCCGAACAACAUUCGGUAACCACAUACAAACUUCCUUUAUAACCCUAGCGUCAUCGAACCUUAAGUGUGUAGACCCUACGGGUUCGGGAACCAUGCAGACAUGACCGAGACGUUCUCCGGUCAAUAACCAACAGCGGGAUCUGGAUACCCAUGUUGGCUCCCACAUGCUCCACGAUGAUCUCAUCAGAUGAACCACGAUGUCAAGGACUUAAUCAAUCCCGUAUGCAAUUCCCUUUGUCCAUCGGUACGAUACUUGCCCGAGAUUCGAUCGUCGGUAUCCCGAUACCUUGUUCAAUCUCGUUACCGGCAAGUCUCUUUACUCGUUCCAUAACACAUCAUCCCGUGAUCAACUCCUUGGUCACAUUGUGCAUAUUAUAAUGAUGUCCUACCGAGUGGGCCCAAAGAUACCUCUCCGUUUACACGGAGUGACAAAUCCCAGUCUCGAUUCGUGCCAACCCAACAAACACUUUCGGAGAUACCCGUAGUGCACCUUUAUAGUCACCCAGUUACGUUGUGACGUUUGGCACACCCAAAGUAUUCCUACGGUAUCCCGGAGUUGCACAAUCUCAUGGUCUAAGGAAAUGAUACUUGACAUUAGAAAAGCUUUAGCAUACGAACUACAUGAUCUUGUGCUAGGCUUAGGAUUGGGUCUUGUCCAUCACAUCAUUCUCCUAAUGAUGUGAUCCCGUUAUCAACGACAUCCAAUGUCCAUGGUCAGGAAACCGUAACCAUCUAUUGAUCAACGAGCUAGUCAACUAGAGGCUUACUAGGGACAUGGUGUUGUCUAUGUAUCCACACAUGUAUCUGAGUUUCCUAUCAAUACAAUUCUAGCAUGGAUAAUAAACGAUUAUCAUGAACAAGGAAAUAUAAUAAUAACCAAUUUAUUAUUGCCUCUAGGGCAUAUUUCCAACAACCGCAUCUUCGGCCACACCUUGUCCCCGUGCAUGCAAAAGUGAGAAACCAAGGAUUUAAGUUGCGGCCGCGGUUCGCACUACUUCAUUCCGGUGAUACGUCUCCAACGAUUCUAUAAUUUUUUAUUGUUCCAUGCUAUUAUAUUAUCUAUUUUGAAUGUUUUAUAUGCAUUAAUAUGUUAUAUUAUAUUAUUUUUGGGACUAACCUAUUAACCUAGAGCCUAGUGCUAGUUUCUGUUUUUUUCCUUGUUUUUGAGCUUCGCAGAAAAGGAAUACUAAACAGAGUCCAAGCGAAAUAAAACUUCACGAUGAUUUUUUUGGACCAGAAGACACCCAGAAAACUUGGAGUGCAAGUCAGAAGAGCCACGAGCCGGCGACAAGGGUGGAGGGCGCGCCCAGGGGGUAGGGCGCGCCCCCUACCUUGUGGGUCCCUCGGUGACCCCCUAACCUAGAUCUUCCUCUUAUAUAUUCACAUAUAUUCUCAAACCACUAGAAGCAUCCACGUAAACACUUUUCCACCGCCGCAGGCUUUUGUUCCCGUGAGAUCCCAUCUAGGGGCCUUUUCCGACAUCCUACCAGAGGGGAAUUCAAUCACGGAGGGCAUCUACAUCAACUCUCUUGCCCUUCCGAUGAAGCGUGAGUAGUCCAUCACAGACCUACGGGUCCAUAGCUAAUAGCUAGAUGGCCUCUUCUCUCUCUUUGAUUCUCAAUACCAUAUUCUCUUCGAUGUUCUUGAAGAUCUAUCCGAUGUAAUCUUCUUUUGCGGUGUGUUUGUCGAGAUCCGAUGAAUUGUGGAUUUAUGAUCAGCUUAUCUAUGAAUAUUAUUUGAAUCUCCUCUGAAUUCUUAUACGCAUGAUUUGGUAUCUUUGUACGUCUGUUUGAAUUAUCGGUUUGGUUUGGCCAACUAGAUUGGUUUUUCUUGCAGUGGGAGAGGUGCUUAGCUUUGGGUUCAAUCUUGCGGUGUCCUCACCCAGUGACAAAGUAGGGGUAGCGAGGCACGUAUUGUAUUGUUGCCAUCGAGGAUAGAAAGACGGGGUUUAAUCAUAUUACUUGAGUUUAUUCCUCUAUAUCAUGUCAUCUUAAUUAAUGCGUUACUCUGUUCUUUAUGAACUUAAUACUCUAGAUGCAGGCAGGAGUCGGUCGAUGUGUGGAGCAAUAGUAGUAGAUGCAGGCAGGAGUCGGUCGAUGAGUGAAGUAAUAGUAGUAGAUGCAGACAGGAGUCGGUCUACUUGAUACAUACGUGAUGCCUAUAUUGCAUAAUCAUUGACUUGGAUAUCGUCAUAACUUUGCGCUUUUCUAUCAAUUGGUCGACACUAAUUUGUUCACCCACCGUAUUAUUUGCCUUCAAGAGAGAAGCCUCUAGUGCCCCGGGUCUAUUUUCCAUCAUAUUAAUUUCCUAUCUACUAUUUUUCAUUAUAUUAAUUUUCGAUCUACUAUUUUGCAAUCUUUUAUUUUCAGAUCUAUAAACCAAAAAUGCCAAAAGUAUUUUAUCUUUUGUUUAUCUAUCUCUAUCAGAUCUCACUUUUGCAAGUGACCGUGAAGAAAUUGACAACCCCUUUAUCGCGUUGGGUGCAAGUGUUUGAUUGUUUGUGCAAGUAUUGAUGAUUUGCGCAUUCUUCUCCUACUGGAUUGAUACCUUGAUUAUCAAACCGUCAACGAUGAGUUCCACCUUCUCUAUGGCAGCAUCGUGGACAAGGUGCCCUUCCUGCAGAGGCCGUGGAGAAUGUACCAGCAGAUCGCGUGCCAUGACGGGUUCAGGGUGCUGAAGCUGCCGUACAAGUCGUUCAACGACGACAGCCCACCGGCGUACAACUCCAAGCCGCGCGAGGGCCUUCCCGAGUUCUCCAUGUGAGUCUUCCUCCCCGAGGACCGCGACGGCCUAAGGAGCUUGGUCGGGAGGAUCACGGCCCGCCCAAAGUUCCUACACGAGCACCUGCCGAGGGACCAUGUCCCCGUCGGCAAGUUCCGGCUGCCCAAGUUCAAGCUGAUGUACAUGAACAACAUCCGCAACGUUCUCAAGGACCUGGGCCUCCAGCUGCAGUGGCGGUGCCAGGAUCAAAACCUUGUGAUGUCAAGCAUUACAUAAAACAAACAAGUAGAAGUAGAAAAGUGGAGGGCCUUGCCUUGUGUUGGAUCAGAUACAGAGUGCAGACUAGCACAAUAGUAUUGGUCGAUUGAUUCAGAGUACCAGACGAACAAUUUAUGUGCAGCCGCAGGUGCGUCGCUCGCGGCUCGCCGGACGGCCCAAGGUGGUCGUUCCUCGCGUCUCACGUCCAGAGUCCAGUAAAAGAUCACCGGCGUCGGGACGUGAAGUCUGAAGACGGCGCUGCGGCGGCCGUCCACGAAGAGGCAUGCGUGAAGGGGAGCCAAAGAUAUCACGUAAUUUGUAGAUCAAGCGAUACAGUACGAUCAGUUAAGGGAUUUUGGACUUUCUUUUUGCUGUACGGCCCAAUAAUGACCCAACUAAUUGAUACACAAGCAGGGGGAUAAGAGAAUAGAUGGGCUGUAAGUUAAAUUGCUGGUUCAACGACGUGGUACAUAGACAUGGGGGUCAAUGUCGUACAAAAAUCCUGUGUAGUCAAGCGACUACACAGUUAUAACGUGGCCUCGCCACUGUCCAGCUGCCUUUCAACCGCGUUCUGGCCAACAUGGCUGGGAUCGUCGGGGAUGACGAGUCGGUCGUGCCAUUGUGUGUAAGCGAGGUUGUCCACAAGGCGGUGGUGGAGAUGAACGAGGAGGGGUGCGAGGCUGCCGCCGUCACCGUGGAGUCAGACGACGACUUGGGGUUCUCGCUUUACUGUGAUUACGAGUGUGUGCCACCACCUCCAACAGUGGACUUCGUCGCCGACCACCCGUUCGCCUUCUUCAUCGUUGAGGAGACUUCAGGCACUGUUGUGUUCGCUGGGCAUGUGCUUGAUCCUACCUAGGAAGAGUAGACUCCGGGCAUGAUCGAAUUGUGCCGCAUCACUUUUCAGUUUUGUAAGCAUACUACAAAAAUUAUAUGGAAAUCACGUGCGACUAUAUGUUUUGGUCUGAAAUUUUACGUAAUGCUAUUUAGAGGUGUGUUCAGUGGCACUUUCGAAAGAUGAUAAUUGCAGUGGCAUUCAUCUGAAUCGGCAAAGUUGCAGUGGCACUUAUCUGUUUAACAUGGUACAAUUGAAGAUGUUAACAUACACGCACAUACACCUACCCUUAUGAACGCACACAGCACACAACACCUCCAAGGUGCUGAACCCGCAUAAUAUUUUAAGAUAGACGAAGUCAUCAUAGACGUCUCCUAGUUGACGAAGAUGUCAUCUCUCCUACUAAAACAUAGUACAAAAAUUUGCCAUGCUAUAAUCAUAAAUUUACCAUGAUAUAUAGCAUAAAAUUACCAUGGUAUAGAGAUAAAACAAUUUCACAAAUAUAAAGAGAGAAAAGAACCCACAUCUAUGUCUGUUAUGUGACUGGGCCUUGUCCGUCGACAUAUAGGAGGGGGUGUCAAAGUAUGACAUUGUGAUCAAAUUAGGGGAGUGAAUGUUAUUCUCCCAAGUUCAGCAAUGUCCAUGUUAUGUUUCUUUGAAAUACUUAGAGGAGUAAGAAACGAUUAGAUUACUAGAGAUCCAAUUUUUUCUGCAGUCUUGUGAACAUGAGCGUAAAUUCCAUCCAUUUUUGUAAUAUUUCGGUUUGGAAUGGUACGUGUGAUGCAUGGGGUUAGAUGGCUGACUCCCCUAUCGGUGUAUGUGGACGUAUCCGCGAAUAUUUUGCGGUGUUUAAUUUGGGGUAUGCUAAAUUGGAAAUACCCUAAGAACAACUCUAGCAGAUGUUGCAAAGAGUUUACGGCUCCUCUUGAAACGAAUUUAUGGUGCCGCGGAAUUGGGCGGAAUAGGUGCUGCAAAACCGUACCACAAAAAAAAUCAUUUCCUCUUCCUUGCGUCAGGCAAGCCCGCCUCCCGUGCCCGAUCCCAAAGGCCUUCCGCGCCCGCGCCCUCCGGACGGCCGCCUACUCUGGCGACACUCCGGCCGCCGCUGCCGAGCUCCCCCGCCUGCUCCGGCCAGCCUAUACUGUGAAUUUAGAGGUUUCACCACCCUUGCGCGGCAUCUGCUGAAGUUGCUCUAAGAGCCUUGUGGUAGAGAUUUGAAAACUUUUUUCUCUAGUCCUAGUCCAAAGCAAGGUGCAAGCAUGGUUUACAGACAAAUCAUUUCUGUUAUGUGUUGACCGUCGACGAAAGCUACAGCGUGGGAAUAUUUAAAGCAGAGAUGCCGACAUGAUUUUGUGUGUGUGUAUUCUUAAAGACGAGCAUCGUAGGCCAGAGUCAAGUCAACUCAUUCUUGUCUGCGCAGAUCUCGUUGGCUUGGUUUCUACAAAUCAAGCUGAGGCUAGCAGGGAAGCGAUUCUUCUCUGGAGCCUCAUCGUCCCCGGCCGUUUCCUUCUUCUUUUGGCUCUUCACAGCUGCUACUUCUAGAGAGGGAGGAUUCGAUUCCCCCCAAGUGUUCCAUCUUCUCCAGGUCAGAGCUUUUUAGAAACUGAGAAGCUGCUUAGUUUCAGAUGUUCUUACAGCAACCAUGUAUGUUUAUAGCUUAGUAUCCUAGAGAUCGAUCCAUGCAUGUUUAGACGCGAGGUCGGGUGCCGGCUCUAUUGGUUAGGUUCUUCCUUGGAUGCCAGCGGUCGGUGGUGGAGGCCAAGUCAUGUUCGUUCCCCGCUCUCUGUUUUGUGGCUCCAUGGCUGGCCGCUCUGUGGGCUGCUGACCGGCGGACGGCAGCGGGUGAGGGGAGACAGUGGUCUCUCCUCCGGUUGAUGGCUUUAUUAAUUUGAUGAAGUUGGGAUGUUUGGCUUUUCUCUGAAAUAGAUCUGUCUUGCUCUGGUAAACAAGGAUUUGUGACCAUCCAUACAUAGCUUGUGCCUUGUAGCAGCUCAGCUCAAAACUUGUGCUCAAUCAUCAGAAAUGGCGACGGGGGCUAGCGGAGGGCAGCCGAGCGUUCUGAGCACAUUGCCCAAGGAUCUGCCGCUAGAUUUUCUGAAGACUAUCACCGAUCAGUUCUCACCAGAGCGUAUACUUGGUACAGGCGCAUUUGGAACUGUUUAUAUGGUAAUAUGGUCAUGCGUGCCUUCACAUUUUCGUGCCAAUUAGAUGCCAACAUUUGCUGAAAAUGUAUUUUUUGAGCUUGAACAGGGGAUUGCGCCAGACGGGCAAAAAAUUGCGGUGAAGAAACUUGCCGAAAAUACACCAAUCGCGCGUGACAAAGUAUUUACUAACGAGGUUCAGAAUAUUAUGGCUCUGCAACUACAUCAUGAGAAUGUAGUAAAGUUGGUCGGCUACUGCCAUGAAGCCCAAAAGAAAGUGGUGCAAAACAAUGGAAGAUAUAUUGUUGCAGACAUUGUUGAAAGUUUACUCUGCUACGAGUACUUGCCGCAGGGGAACCUUCAGAAGAAUCUUUUUGGUAUAUAAUUUUUUUUCCAUUUUAUUUUAAAACUGCUGGAAGUUAUUAUCUUUGAGUACUUACAUUAUGCAAUGUUUCACUUGUUCAGAGGUAUCCUGUGUAAUGGAUUGGGACACACGCUUCAGAAUCAUCAAGGGGAUCUGCCAAGGUUUAGCCUUCCUACACAGCAUUAACAUUGCCCAUAUGGAUCUUAAACCUGAGAAUAUACUGCUGGAUGAUAAGAUGACCCCGAAAAUUGCGGAUUUCGGUCUCUCGAGGCUCUUUGGUCAAGAACAAACACGGAUGAGAACACAAAAUGUUGUUGGAUCAUAGUAAGUCAAACAUCAAAUCCGUUAACAUUUUGUUCCGUCUUUAUGAAGUGAACUGCAUUUUGUUCUCUCCAGCAAUACUUACUAAAAUCUUUGUUGUCAGUGGAUACAUAGCUCCAGAAUAUCUAUACAGAGGCGAGAUCUCCACCAAGUCAGACAUAUAUAGUCUUGGCCUAUUAAUCUUGGAGACCACCACAGUUGAGAAAAAUUGUUCCAACAACGAACCAUCUGCGACGCAAUUUAUAAAAAGCGUAAGAGAAAUUAUUACUUGAUUCUUGAAAGACUGGGGUAUAUAUUUAGAAGCUCAUGAUACAAUUGGUUUAUAUUAUCUCCAAGGAUCAUAAUUCUGGUUCUGUACGUAGGUACAUGAUAACUGGACGGAUGAGCACAUAGUGUCUCAGUGGCCACAUCUUGAUGGGGAUCGCUUUCAGCAGAUAAAAGUAUGCAUCAAAAUUGGACUAGAAUGUGUGGAGAUCGAUCGGCAGAAGAGACCUUCCAUAGAAGAGAUUGUCGAUAGGCUCAACGGAUUAUGGUCAACUGGAAGUUGAAUGCCAUAUGCGGUAUGAAAUUACCUGGGCACACAAUGGCUUUCUAUUGUUAUGAUUUUGUUAGCCCCCACCUCAAUAUAAUAUUGCUCAAUGGCCCAGGUCCGAGUUCAUUGUUAAAAUGAUUUUGUUUUAUGAGAUUGCAGAGGAAGUUUUUUAUUCCUUUCUCUAAUAAAGGACAAUCAAUUCUGACUAACCUAACACUUAACAUCUGCAGAACCAUUUAGUUCGUGAUGCAUUUCAGCUGGUCGUAACAUUCGUACACUAUAUAUGGAACUUCAGAUCUCCAGUUUCCACGGAGCAUGAAACUUCGGUCUUUUCAGCAGAGAUGUGGAAGAUGGAACAACAUGCUUCAUUGUUGCUACAAUGAUUUUGAAAUAAUUCUUUCUGAUGUGCGUCAUUGUGGAUCUUGUUUAAAAUACUUUCUUUUACCCAACUACGUAGUUAUUUCUUAAUGUCAGUACCAAUAAGAACACGACUAGGCAGCGGCGCCCCAGGGCCGAUUUCCCAUGUGGCAUCAUAUUUCCUCUUCUCUCUUGCGUGUAUGCAACAAUAUAUUGGCAUGACAUCAACAAUGAUUUCUUUGAUUUUGAAUUUUUGAAAAGUUUCAUCUCUCCGGCCUAUCUUGAUUGAUAAUCCGGUUUCACCGUUGAUUUCUUUCUGGUGAGAACUUUGAAACUAGAUCACAUGUUGGUAUGUUUUGCCAACUUUUUUCUUCGUCGAUACUUGUCAGGUUAUGAGGCACUUGGUUGUCAUAUUAAAUUAACUUGGUUGCCUGGUUGCAGAAUGCCAGUGUAUACCACCAGAAGACUUGCUUCAUGGUACUUGUGUGAGUUGAUGACACUCUUUCCCUAUUGUUAACACUUGAAUAUUCACUCUCGACCAGAGGAGGGUUGAAUGGAUGAAUAUUCACUCUUUCCCGCCGCACAAAGCUCAGCAAUGGUGGUGUCGGUGACCUUGGAGGCCACCCACCUCCCCUUCACAUCUGCAUCGGCCAUUGAUGCGGGCGCGGAAGCUUGGGUGAAGCUGUGGGCUUGAGAUUAGAAAUGAGAAGGUUUGAGGAUUUGGGCGCUCGAUCAAGAGGAGAGCGUGGAGUUCGAUUUACCCCCUUGCUCUUUAUAAGCCAGCAAAAGGCGAAGCGUCCCUCUUCAGCGCCGUAAAAAUCGCCACGUUUCGGCUUACCUUGCCGUUGUGGCCGCAUGGCGAGAAGCAGUUGAUUGAUGAUAUCCCCCAAAAUGUGGGGCACGAUCUCUGUUUUGAUACGACGUGCUAGUAAGAAGUUUGCCUCGAACCACGAUUCAAAUAAGUAAUGACUGACGUAUGUCGUGUCAGGGUUGGUGACGCUUCAGUAAAAGGCUGUCAAUAACUGACCCCGAGUUCACCUGCGCUGCUAGUCUUCGGGACUAAGCAAGCUUUGUACUUUGGAUGAACACUAGUACGCCUUGAGCAGCACAUGACUGGAGUUACUUGGGCCUCUACCAAAGGGAUCCAUUAAGAGGACCCACGAAGCAUUAUACCCGUCCGAAGAUGUGGAACUUGCCUGCUAAGCCGAAGACAUUGUCCGAGGAAGAUUGUCAACCAUGGCUUCGAAGACAAGUUCGGAGGCUGCUGAUGGUGUCUUGGAUUAGGGGGUCCUAGCCAAGCCGGGCUAAAGUAUGGGCCGGACUACCAGCCCGUUGAGAAAGCAAGACUCCAGGGGCUCUCGAAGUGCGGCGACCGAAGACUUGGCAUGUACUUCGAGCAUAUUUAGAUUCAACAUGUGGAUCCUUAGAUAGUAACCGACCAUAUAUAACCUUAGCUACCCCCGGUGUCUAUAUAACCAGGAGGUUUAGUCCGUAGAGGCGAAUCCAUCCAUACACCCAUUCAUCAAACCUAGGGUUUAGACCACAACUUACGAUCUCAAGGUAGAUCAACUCUGUACUUCGAUACCUUCAUGAUAUAAACAAGAGUAGGACAUAGAGUUUUACCUCCAUCCAGAGGGCCCAAACCUGGGUAAAUCCCUUGUGUGUUCUUCUCCUGUUACCCAUCGAUCCAAUCUAACAGCUCGGGCCCCCCUACCCGAGAUCUUCCGUUUUUGACACCGACACUGUCCUUGUACGUUUGGGUCACCUUGCUUUAUGACUAAUCAUGUCAACCCGAGUCCUAUGUCAUAUGAAUGCUAGCAUCACAAUCAUAUACGUGAGCCAAAAGAUGCAAACGGUCCCGUCCAAGAUAAAAGCGGCAGCUGUGGGUUAACGUGCGUGAGGCCGUGAAGUGACAUGGUGUGUUAUAUGCUAGAUUGGUGUGACUAAGGAUCAGGGUCCCGACAAUGGAGCAGAUCUGAGCCACUAGAUUCCGGACGAAAUCCGCGGCGUUGUCCCCACCCCCGCCAUCGGGUGGAAACCGGCGACGGCGGUGAGAGCGAGCCGCGUAGGAAGGCUCCGAGGCUCACAACCGCGGCGGCGCGUGGGUCUGCGUGGUGGAGCGGCUGGAAGUGCGGCGGCUUUGGUGGUGGGGAGGGAGCGAGCAUCGUCUAUCGCAUGUCGCCUCGGGCCUUUGCCCCAAAGCACUCCCUUUCAACCUUCAGGAUUUCGUCAACAACAAAAGAAAAAUUAUGCUUUUUUUGCGAGAAAAAGAAGAAAAAUGAUGCCGACGGCUGGGAAAAAGAAAAGGCGCAAGCGAAUUGGUGGAAUUAUGCGAUGAUGAUCGAUGCAGUAGCUCGCUUAGGGCAUCUUCAGCCGCGCCCCCAGGAAGGCCUUCCCAGGCGUUUUUUUUGCGCCGGCGCCGAAAAAUCGGCCCAAUCGCGCCCCCAGGAGCCUGAUUUUCGCCGGCCUUGGCCGAAAACAGCGCCGGCAGACCCAGGCCGAACCCGGCGCGCUGGGGGCGCCCGGGGGCGCCGAGGCGAACCGUUUUGGCGCGAAACAGCCGCGGGCCCGCCGCGUCAGGGACACGGCUCUCUUCUCGCCCCUUCGUCGUCCUCAUCGCCUCGUUUCCCGCGGCGAAUCAAUGCCAAAGCUGCCGCGCGCCGUGCCGGUCAGCCUGCGCCAUUGAUGCCUCACGGGCGGCGCAGUGAAGACCGGAUGACGCGCGUCCCUCGCCCUCCAUCGCCCGCCACACGUACACAUGGCGGCACGCGCACGGGCGGCGCCUCGGCCUAUAUAAGACGCGCCCCAGCGCACUCGGCGACUCGCACUCUCUCGACGUCAUCGUUCCUUCCUCUCCUCUCUCCCGCCGUCUCCAGUUUAUCGCACCCAUGCCCGAGCGCUUCCCAGGCGACCGCGCGGCGGCGAACGACUUCGGCCGCCGCCAUGUUCACGAGGACGAGGCUCGCCUCCUUUUCGAGGCCGAGUACCCUGUCCCGCUGGACAUGCGGGUGCCCGGGGCGUGGAGGAUCAGCGCCGGCGGUGUGCCGGUGCCCCCGGUACCCACCGGCGCGGCGCGGCGUGCGGAGAUCGCACGCAUCCGCUCGUCCCUGCCGCGUGCGGCGAGGGAGGGGCCAGGAUACGUCCCCGACAGCCCGCUCUAGGAGCCCUAUUUCCGCUGCCGUCACGCCGAGCAGCUCGAGGCCACCAACGGCGUCGUGCCCUCCGGCAGGCUCAAGGCCGCCGGCCGGCGUCGGUGGUGGGGCGUGCCCGGGCGCACGUUGGAGGUUGUCCUCGAGUACAUCGAGGGCGGCAACACGCCACGCCUCGAGUACCCCACUCCCCCGUCCUUCUCACGCCGCCGGGGAAGCUCCUGGACGCCGAGGCGCAUGGUGACCGGGGGGUCCUCCUCCUCGUCCGGCGGCUCUCCCUGCCUCCACCUCCGCCCCGUCAAGCCGGAGCCCCAGGGCACGCCUGUCAGCGCGCGCACCCGCCGCUCCGGCUUCCGCAUCGGCGACAACGUCUCCCCCACCGGCCGCUUCGUCCUCGUCGAGCCCAAGCCGGAGCCCGGCCUCCCCGCGGAGUACGAGGAGAUAGCCUGGCGCGGCUUCUCCGACGAGGACGCCCUGCGGUGGGCGCGGGUCGACUACCUCCGCGACGAGAUGGUCCGGCAGCGCCGGGCCCUGGAGGAGAUCGCCGCCCGCAAGCGUGGGCGCGAGGACGAGCACGGCAUCGUGGUCCUCGACAGCGACGACGACGACGCCGCCCUCGGAACGUCCAACCCGCCGCGCCAACCGGGGGAGGGAUGCAGCAGGGAUGACGGAGGCGUAGGCGGGGGCGACGACGACGACGACGACGACGGCGGCGGUGACUACACGCGGUUCUACAGUCUCCUCGGCAUGUAGAACCGUGUGGGCGGGCGGCGAGGGAGACAGCGGGGGUAGCCUGCGGUAGUUUUUCAUUUUUUUGUAAAAUAUGUUUAAAUUUGAACGAACUCGUCCAUGUUUGCGUUGUGUUUGCGCCGAAUUUGAACACUUUAAAAACCCGUGGGGGGCCGCGAGUGGGGGGCAUCACGUCCCCAGUGCGCGGUUUAGCGCCGGUGCGCCCUCCAGAGAACGAUUUUUUGCCCCUCCUGAAAGGCGAACGGCUGGAAAUGCCCUUAGCUAUGCUAGCAUGCUCCGUCAACGGCUAAAGAAUGGUGGCCGGAAUCUUUGUGGUUGUGCAUGAGAGAGCGUGCCAUGCAUUGCAUGCCGUAGCAGUACAGUCGCGUGCCACGAGGCGAACGCGACUAGGAGUCCGUAUGCCAGGCGCCCGUGCGCAUGGAUAUGGAUUGGAAUUGGGUCCGAAACCACGGCCAGAUGCAUGCGUGCGUAUACGCUGCUGCGUCUGUAAUUUUAUGUACAGUACAAACCGUGUCCGUGUGUACGCGAUGGCCCGCGCGUCGUGGAUCGCGUGGAAGGAAACGCAAGGCAAGGUCGUCGUCGGCGUCCUUGUCACCGCCGUCAAUUUCCUUUUUGUCUUUCCACUAGCCGAUCCGCCCAAUCGCCGUCGCUGGAUCAUGCAUGGAUUGGACAAAGAGAGGAAGAAUAUGAGGAGCCGAGGAGGAAGAUUGGGUGCUCACACCAAGGAGAAAUCAAUACUAGUACUAGUAAAACGGCGCCGUAGACCUCACGCCCAUCCGUCCGUGUACGUAACAGCUAGGAUCUCCUAUCUACGUCCAGUAGCAGUGUAGUCUACCAAUCAAUCAAACCGAACCGAACCGGAAACGAAUGGGCUGCGCGUUCACUUUUGGGUGGUUUGGUUUCCAUGGCUGUCAUGUCAUUCCCAGGGUUAUUUACAUGCGGUGUAUGUCUGCUUCUGCCCGUUUGGUUAGUGGUUAGUUGGGCAAGUGUCCUGACCUGAGCUAGCUAUAAAUACGGGCGGGUCAAAGCAGGAGCCUCCAAAGGUGGCUGUGGCUCACACACACACACACACACACGCAGAGACAAGAGACAAGAGACAGCGAGUCAGACCAGGCCAUAGGGAAUCCCGCGCGCGGGGCGGGCGACGACUGAGGCGGAGAUCCCUUCCGGCCGGCCGCCGCCGCUCGUGGACACCGACCAACAUAGGUACGUACGCCGAUGGCCGCGGCGGGGCUCCUCCCCCCUCCCCCUGCAUGCAUGCAGUCCCAUGGCUGGCUAUAUCUCUGAAUUAAUCACUGCAUCUUCUAUCAGGGUGUGUUUCUUUCUGUGGUCUGUCUGUAACAGAGAUAUAUCGGGACAACGGGAAAAUAUUAUUAGUUGCGUGUGCGUGGUUUUGUUCCCGGGAGGUCAAUGUGACGGACACCGGGACACGGACUACUCACACUCAUAGCCAUAGGUCAUCCAUCUCCAAUCACUCAAUCGACCAAUAAUUAAGCAAGUGUCAUGUGAAGACGCGAUAUGCAAUCGAAGGGGACCUGCUGCAUCGUCACGUUUCUGGGCCGGAGCUUGGGAGUCCACGGCACGGCACGGCACGGAGACGCAGAGCCAUGGUGGGCAUGCAUAAAGCCAGUGGAGUUCAUACGGCCAGCUAUUGCUCAAUAUUAAUACUAGGUGGAGGCGAAGCCAAAGGGCAUCUAUCUGCAAGAGAUUGUUCAUGAUCGAAACCACGUUCUGUUGACUGGAAUAUUUCUGUCGUCACCAUCAUCAACGGAAAAGUAGUACUACAGUAUUUUUCAGAUACCUGCAAGAGUACUAGUACGUGUGCUUAGUUUUUUUUCUCGACAGGUCAAUGUGAGGGACUCACUCAUAGGCCAUCCAUCUCCCAUCAACCGAAUCAGCUUGCAGAUCCCUGUAGUAGGAGUAUUUUUAUUUGUUAAUCGAGUGUCAUGUGAAGACGCGAUACGCAAUCCCUGCAGCGUCACGUUUUUUGGAUGGGAGCAUCGCAGUCCAUGCAUGCCACGGAGACGCAGAGAGACAGAGAGAGAGAGAGAGAGAGAGNNNNNNNNNNNNNNNNNNNNNNNNNNNNNNNNNNNNNNNNNNNNNNNNNNNNNNNNNNNNNNNNNNNNNNNNNNNNNNNNNNNNNNNNNNNNNNNNNNNNNNNNNNNNNNNNNNNNNNNNNNNNNNNNNNNNNNNNNNNNNNNNNNNNNNNNNNNNNNNNNNNNNNNNNNNNNNNNNNNNNNNNNNNNNNNNNNNNNNNNNNNNNNNNNNNNNNNNNNNNNNNNNNNNNNNNNNNNNNNNNNNNNNNNNNNNNNNNNNNNNNNNNNNNNNNNNNNNNNNNNNNNNNNNNNNNNNNNNNNNNNNNNNNNNNNNNNNNNNNNNNNNNNNNNNNNNNNNNNNNNNNNNNNNNNNNNNNNNNNNNNNNNNNNNNNNNNNNNNNNNNNNNNNNNNNNNNNNNNNNNNNNNNNNNNNNNNNNNNNNNNNNNNNNNGAGAGAGAGGGGUAGUGUCGUUGUCGCGGUGGGAAACCAGGCAGCCAGCGGGGCACGUCUCGCCGGACGCCGGUCUCGCGGUGCGCGUCGUCGUCGUCUCUGGCUAUAAAUACCGGCCGGGUGGGAGCAGGAGCCUCCAAAGCCAAAGGCAAAGCCAAACACAUUGGUCUCUCACACAAACACAUUGGUCGCGCACGCACACGGGCUGACAGCCACAGAGCGGGCGGGCGAGGGAGGGAGUUCGGAGGACAGCAGAGGGCCGGAUCCGAUCCCCGCCGGCCGUCGCGCCAAGGUACGUAUAUAUAUAUAUACUAGUAUAACUGAUACAGAUUUCCCCUCCGCCUUCUAGAAAGAGAUCCGACGUUGAAAGGUGGGUGAUUCAGAUUCAGAUACUUGUGGUGUGGUGUUGAAACAUGCCUGCCAAAACUCGAGUCAGACAGCACGGGCGUCUUCCUCACGUCCGGCUCGCACCCCCCGCCUUGCAUAAACUCCUUUCCGGCGUCACCCGCAAAAAAAAAAAAAAACUCCUUUCCGGCGGCAAAUAUACCCAAUUAAUCUACUCCGUCAUAGUACAGCUACCAGUAGUAAUUAAGUAGCACGCGUAAUAAAAUGGCAGCUCCAGCCAAUACAGUAGACCGGUGUCCUUGCCCUUUGUAGACAGACAGGAGCUGAUUGAUUGCGUGUUUGACAGUAGAGUAGUACGUAAUUAAUUGGCUGGUCAAGACCAUGUAUCAACGGAAUUGUAUAGUUUUCUAUACCAAGGUCAGUGUCACUGGCUCACUCAUAGUAUGCCAUCCACGCAAACCAAACCAAAGCAAUCAGUAAUGUGAACUCACUGUCCUUGGCAACCCGUCAUGUGCAUAUCAUUAUCAAUAACCCGCCCCCUAUUCCUUGCUCCGUCACGUCGGCCGGUCUCCUUGUCGACGGACCUCAACGUCUUUGGACGGGAGCAGCAAGAGCAUAUGAAUGAUAUUUUCUUGCCUGUUGUCGUGGACGGACGCAGAGGCAGCCAACUGACACGUCGUCCUUCUCGGCGCCGCGCCGUGGGGACGAACGAGAACACGCCGCUCGCUGCCUCUCGUUUUGGUCCCGUUCCGUGCCCGGAGAGCAGAGCAUGCACGUCGGCGUCGCACCGUCACUGUUGCGUGCGCGUGAUUUCUGUCCGACUGCUACCAGUUGUGGAAUUAAUUAUGUAUUCCACUGAGCUGGGCUAAUCAAACGUCUAACCGUGACACGAGCUAAUAAUAGCGUCUGUGUGAAAGAGCUAGCGUGAUCACACGCACGCAGCCAUCGGUUGCUUGGUUUUCACCCGCACCUCUGCACACCCAAGCAAAAGCGAUAUAAGUACUAGUACUACGUACUGUCGAUUUACGUAUACUAGUGUUGUCUGAAUUUGAUGUACACAUGCAUGAGGUCGUCAGUCGGAGCAGCUCACUUUAUUUAGAGACAUACUCCCUCCGUCUGGUUGAAGAGUGUACAUCUAGAAAUUUUAGGACAAUAUAUGAACUUGUGUAAAAAAUACAUUGAAAAGGUGCAAGCCACCGUCUUUCUCCUCUUUAAUUACCCAACCCUCAAUGAGCUAAGUGCAUGUAGAAAUUAAAAAGACCAUGUGUAGAUUGCUAUUGGUCUUGAUUACCGUGUGAUGAUAGAGAAAAUAUUUUUUCCUACUUUAAAGUGCAUUGGGAAGAUAGAAAUACAUUCUUUUGUGGAUAAAUUUUAAAACUAGAUGUACACUUUUCACCGGACAUAGGGAAGCAACAAUGCGGCAUUAUCUGAUCUUGGGAGACACCUUUCACUUUCACAUGCUUGGUUGCAACAUACUACCACAGUAAUACGUAGUACUUAUAAAGUAGUACAAAGUUUUUUUUUUACAAUAACAGAAAGUGUAAAGUUAGUAAGAGUACUACAAUACCCGCGGACUGAAGACUGAGUGGUCAAGAACAAGAAUAUAGGACCUGGAAGUGAAAUGAUAGGCUGGCCCAUGCUUAGAGCAUCUCCAACAGGCGCCUAAAAAGAGCUCCGCGCGUUAAAAAGUUGUUUUUUUGGGCGCCGAACAACUUCAACAGAAGUUGCAAAAUUAUGCGCGCGCUAAAAACUUUUGGGCACACGCUGAAAAAUGCCAUCGCGCGCAUCAUAUUUUGCGCUUCGGAUUGGGCGCGCUUCACAAUUUACACUGCGUGCUUUUUUGGGCGCACGGUUUUGGGCAUCUGCUAAAGCAAUGUUGGUCCCGGCGCACUAAAAAUGCUACAAUGACGGUAUAAAUUUUUUUGGGCGGCCGUUGGAGAUGCUCUUAUCAUUCAUAGGGACCAGUAGUAGCAUCGUCUCUCUUUCCCGCAAAAAAAAAAGUUUCAUCAUCUCUCUCAUCCACGAGAGUAGGCAGAGUGCCUGCCGCUUAAACAAGUCAAUAACAAUGAUUUUAGCGAGGAAGAUGCUCUCCCUCCUUUGAUUAUAAAAAAAACUCCUCACUCGUUUUGCUCCGAGGAUGAUUCCCCACACCACCACGCUGCCACCAGGCACCCCACCCCAAGAGGGAAGAUUGAUCGGAUCAGUAUUCGUGGCUGGCUGGCUGGCCACCUCUGUCCGCCACCAGUUUCAGCCUCUCCUCUGUGAUGCAGCCAGCCACAUGAGCCGCCAUUGUUUCUCGACGGAGAAGAACCCACGCGCAGCCAAAGCACCCGUCGUCUCUCUUUCUUUCUAGUCGUGGAAAAGUAGGUAGGUGGCGGUCCUUUCUAGUCGUUUGUUCUUGAUUUGCAAUUCCCAUUUCUUUGAGAUUUUAUUAUCCAAAAGCAUGUGGCUCUUCUUGCUAAGAUUCAUCACAAGUUCCACCCUUAAUUACUGUCAAUAAUAAAUCUUCACCACCCUAUUAAUCACUGUCAAUAAAAACACUUGCAGGAAGCAGCAGUUCCUCUGAGCCGCUGCCGCUGCAGUGCCUAGUCUGACUGAGCGGCGAGAAAGAAGCAAGGCCAGCAGCCAUGGGGGAGGUCGCGGCGGAGAUGUACACCCAGGAUGGCACCGUCGACAUCAAGGGCAACCCGGCCCUCAAGAAGGACACCGGCAACUGGCGCGCAUGCCCCUACAUCCUCGGUACACACGCGCACGACUCCAUUGCUGCUCUGUUUUCAUGCUCUGCUUCGGUUCAUGGCGCUCAUGGCGUCAAGGUGUUUGAUUGAUCGGGUUGCAUGCAGCGAACGAGUGCUGCGAGCGGCUGGCCUACUAUGGCAUGAGCACCAACCUGGUCAACUUCAUGAAGGACCGGAUGGGCAUGGCCAACGCCGCCGCCGCCAACAACGUCACCAACUGGGGCGGCACCUGCUACAUCACGCCGCUCAUCGGCGCCUUCCUCGCCGACGCCUACCUCGGCCGCUUCUGGACCAUCGCCUCCUUCAUGAUCAUCUACAUCUUCGGCCUCGGCCUGCUCACCAUGGCCACCUCCGUGCACGGCCUCGUGCCGACCUGCGCCGCCAAGGGCGUCUGCGACCCCACGCCGGGCCAGUCGGCGGCCGUCUUCAUCGCGCUCUACCUCAUCGCGCUCGGCACCGGCGGGAUCAAGCCCUGCGUGUCGUCGUUCGGGGCGGACCAGUUCGACGAGCACGACGACGUGGAGCGCAAGAGCAAGAGCUCCUUCUUCAACUGGUUCUACUUCUCCAUCAACAUCGGCGCGCUGGUGGCCUCGUCCGUGCUCGUGUACGUGCAGACGCAUGUCGGCUGGAGCUGGGGCUUCGGCAUCCCCGCCGUCGUCAUGGCCAUCGCCGUCGGCAGCUUCUUCGUCGGCACGCCGCUCUACAGGCACCAGCGCCCCGGCGGCAGCCCGCUCACCCGCAUCGCGCAGGUGCUCGUCGCCGCCACGCGCAAGCUCGGCGUCACCGUCGACGGGUCGGCGCUGUACGAGACCGCGGACAGGGAGUCCGGCAUCGAGGGGAGCCGCAAGCUGGAGCACACUGAGCAGUUGAGGUUCCUCGACAAGGCGGCCGUCGAGACGCAGGCGGACAAGACGGCGGCCACCGGGCCGUCGCCGUGGCGGCUGUGCACCGUGACGCAGGUGGAGGAGCUCAAGAGCGUGGUGCGGCUGCUGCCCAUCUGGGCGAGCGGCAUCGUCUUCGCCACGGUGUAUGGGCAGAUGAGCACCAUGUUCGUGCUCCAGGGAAACACCCUGGACGCCUCCAUUGGGCCCAAGUUCAAGAUCCCCUCCGCCUCGCUCUCCAUCUUCGACACCCUCAGCGUCAUCGCCUGGGUGCCCGUCUACGACCGCCUCCUCGUCCCCGCCGUGCGCUCCGUCACCGGCCAGCCCCGCGGCUUCACGCAGCUCCAGCGCAUGGGCAUCGGCCUCGUCGUCUCCAUGUUCGCCAUGCUCGCCGCCGGCGUGCUCGAGCUCGUCCGCCUCCGCACCAUCGCGCAGCGCGGCCUCUACGGCGAGAAGGACGUGGUGCCCAUCUCCAUCUUCUGGCAGGUGCCGCAGUACUUCAUCAUCGGCGCCGCCGAGGUCUUCACCUUCGUGGGCCAGCUCGAGUUCUUCUACGACCAGGCGCCCGACGCCAUGAGGAGCAUGUGCUCCGCGCUCUCCCUCACCACCGUCGCGCUCGGGAACUACCUCAGCACGCUGCUCGUCACCGUCGUGGCCAAGCUCACCACCAGGGGAGGCAAGCAAGGGUGGAUCCCCGACAACCUCAACGUCGGCCACCUCGACUACUUCUUCUGGCUGCUCGCCGCGCUCAGCCUCCUCAACUUCGCCGUCUACCUCCUCAUCGCCAGCUGGUACACCUACAAGAAGACCGCCGGAGAUGACACAGACGCCAAAGCCAAAGGAGGCGCUGAUGAUUGAUGCAAAUGACCAGUGAGUGAGUGACUCUGCCUGGGGUUGGUGUAUGAAUGUUGAAAGAGGAAGAAGAAAGCAAGGAUUGAGACUUCAGAGUUCAGAUAGGUGAAAUUAAGGGAGGACAAUGAAAUGCAUGGUGUGAUUUGUGACUUGAAGAUUCAAGAGUGUUGCCUUGUUGAUUAAUAUACUAGUGUCUUGGAAAAAUCUGUCAGAAAAAGGUUCAGAUGUUAUGUACUGCUCCCUCCUUAAAGAAACAUAAAGCCUUUAGAUUACUAAAAUAGCAAUCUAAACGUUUUUAUAUUUCUUUACAGAGGGAGUACUUUAUUAAUUUGGCGUGCAAUGCGACCCAAAGUUUCUACAGAGAUGAGUAGAGAUAUUAUAAGAGUUUUAACUUUUUUUACAGCAUGGUUCAUAAACAUCACUGAGGGAGUCCUGGAUUAGGGGUGUUCGGGUAGUCGGACUAUACCUUCAGCCGGACUCCUGGACUAUGAAGAUAUAAGAUUGAAGAGUUCGUCCCGUGUCCGGAUGGGACUUUUCUUACCGUGGAAGGCAAGCUUGGCGAUGCGGAUAUUCAAGAUCUCCCACCAUUGUAACCGACUCUAUGUAACCUUAACCCUAUCCGGUGUCUAUAUAAACCGGAGGGUUGUAGUCCGUAGGACAUCAACUCUAUAUACAACAAUCAUACCAUAGGCUAGCUUCUAGGGUUUAGCCUCCUUGAUCUCGCGGUAGAUCUACUCUUGUACUACCCAUAUCAUCAAUAUUAAUCAAGCAGGACGUAGGGUUUUACCUCCAUCGAGAGGGCCCGAACCUGGGUAAAACAUCGUGUUCCCUGCCUCCUGUUACCAUCCGGCCUAGACGCACAGUUCGGGACCCCCUACCCGAGAUUCGCCGGUUUUGACACCGACAUUGGUGUUUUCAUUGAGAGUUCCUCUGUGUCGUCGCCUUUAGGCCCGAUGGCUCCUUCGAUCAUCAAUAACAAUACGGUCCAGGGUGAGACCUUUCUCCCCGGACAGAUCUUCGUCUUCGGCGGCUUCGCUCUGCGGGCCAAUUCGCUUGGCCACUUGGAGCAGAUCGAAAGCUACGCCCCUGGCCAUCAAGUCAGGUUUGGAAGCUUAAACUACACGGCUGACAUCCGCGGAGACUUGAUCUUCGACGGGUUCGAGCCACGGCCAAGCGCGCCGCACUAUCUCGAGGGGCAUGAUCUAGCUCUGCCUCCGGACAGUGUCCUGGAGGCCACACACGCAUCGGUUCCGACCCCUAACUCGGAGCCUAUUGCGCCAAUCGAGGACGAGCGGUUGGACGUCACCUCGGGGGCUGCGAUCUCAAAGGCGACCGAGCCGAACGCUAGCCCCGCACUCUGCACGACCCGUGACUCCGAGGAUCCGGACUCCUCUCCGGACUCCGAACCCCCCGCGCCCCUGCCAAUCGAAUCCGAUUGGGCGCCGAUAAUGGAGUUCAACCGCCGCAGACAUCUUUCAGCACUCGCCUUUUGGCGAUAUCCUGAAUUCUCUUAAGUCUCUCUCUUUAUCAGGAGAGCCCUGGCCGGACUACGGUCAGCGAGGGUGGGAUACGGACGAUGAAGAAAUUCAAAGCCCACCCACCACCCACUUUGUAGCCACUGUCGACGAUUUAACCGAUAUGCUUGACUUCGGCUCCGAAGACAUCGACGGCAUGGACGAUGAUGUAGGAGACGAACAGGAACCAGCACCUGUAGGGCGCUGGAAGGCCACCUCGUCAUAUGACAUAUAUAUGGUGGAUACUCCAAAAGAUGGAGACGGCGAUGGAACAGUGGGAGAUGACACCUCCAAGAAACAGCCAAAGCGCCGGCGCCAGCGGCGCCGCUCUAAAUCCCGCCAAAGCAAAAACGGUGAUUCCGGCAUGGGAGAUAAUACUACCCCGGAUAGCGCCGAAGAACACUCACCUCAGCAAGAUUCGGCAUAGGAAGAUGGAGAAGCCAGCCCUCAUGAGGGAGCGGCAGACCGAGAGGUCGAGGAUGAUAACUACAUGCCUCCCUCCGAAGACGAGGCAAGCCUCGAUGACGACGAAUUCGUCAUACCAUCAGACCCCGCCGAACAAGAGCGUUUUAAACGCAGGCUUUUAGCCACAGCAAGCAGCCUCAAGAAAAAGCAGCAACAGCUUAGAGCUGCCCAAGAUUUGCUAGCUGACAGAUGGACUGAAGUCCUUGCGGCCGAAGAGUAUGAACUCGAACGCCCCUCCAAGAGUUACCCAAAGCGUAGGCCGCUACCCCGAUCAGAGGAGGAAGCACCUACAUCACCAGCGCAUGACAUGGCAGACCGGCCACCUCGCGGCCGUGACAGAGAGGCCUCUCGGCCCUCCAUCCAAGCCAUGCCCCGACGCCGCUCAACUAAGGCACGGGAAAAUGCGCCAGACCUGCGAGACGUACUGGAGGAUAAGGCAAGACAAACAAGAUCGAUCUACGGAUCGCGCAGGCGCCCUAUGGCACGUGACGAUGAUCUUCACUCCGGAUACAACAAAUCCGGUCGGGCCGAACACAACAGACAUAGCUCUUCUGAGCUGCGUCGUGAUAUAGCCCAAUACAGAGGCGCCGCACACCCGCUAUGCUUCACGAAUGACGUAAUGGAUCAUAAAAUCCCAGAGGGUUUCAAACCCGUAAACAUCGAAUCAUACGAUGGCACAACAGAUCCGACGGUAUGGAUCGAGGAUUAUCUCCUUCACAUCCACAUGGCACGCGGCGAUGAUCUACACGCCAUCAAAUACCUCCCGCUCAAACUUAAAGGACCGGCCCGACAUUGGCUUAACAGCUUGCCAGCAGACUCAAUCGGUUCUUGGGAGGACCUGGAAGCCGCAUUCCUCGACAACUUCCAGGGCACUUACGUGCGACCACCGGAUGCUGACGACUUAAGCCACAUAAUUCAGCAGCAAGAGGAAUCGGCGAGACAAUUCUGGACACGGUUCCUAACAAAGAAAAACCAGAUAGUCGACUCUCCGGAUGCAGAGGCUCUAGCAGCCUUCAAGCAUAACAUCCGCGACGUAUGGCUUGCCCGGCACCUGGGACAGGAAAAGCCGAAAUCUAUGGCAGCCCUCACGACACUCAUGACCCGCUUUUGCGCGGGAGAAGACAGCUGGCUAGCUCGCAGUAACAACUUAACAAAGAACCCUGGUAAUUCGGAUACCAAGGACAAAAGUGGCAGGACACGUCGGAAUAAGCAAAAACGCCGCGUUAGCAGCGACAGCAAUGAAGACACGACAGUCAAUGCCAGAUUCAAAGGCUAUAAAUCCGGUCAGCAGAAAAAGCCAUUCAAAAAGAAUACUCAGGGCCCGUCCAGUUUGGACCGAAUACUCGAUCGCUUGUGCUAGAUACAUGGCACCCCCGAAAGGCCAGCCAAUCACACUAACAGGGAUUGUUGGGUGUUCAAGCAGGCAUGCAAGUUAAGGGCCGAAAACAGAGACAAGGGGCCACACAGCGACGACGAGGAGGAGCCCAAGCCGCCGAACAACAAUGGACAGAAGGGCUUUCCCCCACAAGUGCGGACGGUGAACAUGAUAUACGCAACCCACAUUCCCAAGCGGGAGCGGAAGCGUGCGCUACGGGACGUAUACGCGAUGGAGCCAGUCGCCCCAAAGUUCAACCCAUGGUCCUCCUGCCCGAUCACUUUUGAUCGAAGGGACCAUCCCACUAGCAUCUGUCAUGGCGGCUUCGCCGCAUUGGUUCUCGACCCAAUCAUCGACGGAUUUCAUCUUACAAGAGUCCUCAUGGACGGUGGCAGUAGCCUGAACCUACUUUAUCAAGAUACAUUGCGGAAAAUGGGCAUAGCUCCCUCAAGGAUUAAGCCCACAAAAAUGACCUUUAAAGGCGUUAUACCAGGUGUAGAAGCCAACUGUAUAGGCUCAGUAACACUUGACGUGGUCUUCGGAUCCCCGGACAAUUUCCGAAGCGAAGAGUUAAUUUUCGAUAUAGUCCCGUUUCGCAGUGGCUAUCACGCCCUACUCGGACGAACCGCAUUCGCAAAGUUCAAUGCGGUGCUGCACUACGCAUAUCUCAAGCUCAAGAUGCCAGGCCCUCGAGGAGUAAUCACGGUCAACAACGGAAACACCGAACGCUCCCUCCGUACGGAGGAGCACAUGGCGGCUCUCGUAGCGGAGGUACAAAGUAGCCUUCUCAGGCAAUUCUCUAGUCCGGCCAUUAAAAAGCUAGACACUGCCAAGCGCGCCCGGAGUAACCCACAGCAGGACCGCUUGGCACACUCUGAGCAAGCGUAGCAAUGCGGCCCCAACCCCAGCUCUCGCGACAUAGCGAAACCAGUACCUCGCGUACAUAACUACGCCCUCGAAAUACCAUGGGCACAGGGGAAGGGGCACAAUAACGGCAUGCCCAAAAUACGGCUUAAAACGUACUAGGGGCUGCCGGAUUCUUUUUUAAAUUUUUUCUUACUUUCAGGACUCCAUACUUCGGACGACCUGUUCGGCAGUUCGACUGCCGCACAAACGAUGCAAGAUCCAGGAAGGCAGACAAGCCAUGCCGCAUUAUGGAACUCCCAGGUGGUCUCUGUUACGAGCGAUAUACCUGUUUUAAAUACUAUUCCGCGGCCUGCCCCUGGUCAGGACAUAGUAAAUAGUCCAAUAUCUUUUGCUUACCGCACUAUUUGUAUCGUUCGGCUUUGAUAAAUAGCCUCUCUAUAAACAAUGCAUAGCUUUCUGUCUAUUUUUUGCAUUAUCUUCUUUUCACAUAUAUGUUUAUCAAAUGACAUGAUUGCACCCGUACACCAUGGUACGGCAAACACGCCAGGGGCUUCAGUACCCCUCAUAAUGGUGUGAGAAGUCCGUACACUUUCACAAGUGCGGCACCUGAACUUAUAGCACUAUAUGCAUCGGCUCCGAAUCAUGAUUUGGGUCAAUAGUUGGGUUUGCCCGGCUGCUAUGUUUUGGUGCCUUACGUUCCGCUCUAUCGGCUAAGGUAGCACUAGGAGAACCACUGCGAUUGUGCCCCGGUUCAGCUAAGUUAAGCACCUCAGUGGAGAAAGCUAAAACUGACUGUCAUGAUGUGGCGAGAGACCGGUCGCUGUUCGAGAGGUUUUUCGAGUCCCUAAAGGCUUAUGCCGCUUCGAGCGAGGAGCUGGCUUUGUCCGGCCAAGGCGUGGAUAGCGCCCCGAACUCGGUCUUUCGAACUAGGGGCUUCGCCGAAAUUUAAAAUUAUAGAGUUCUAUGGCUAAGUGAGAGUGUUCAAGCAUUAUAGUCCGAUUUCUUGGUUCAUUGUGCUGAGCGCCUCCCUCGAAGGACCCAACUAUGGGAAAAAGAGCGCUCAGGUUUAUCCCGAACACCCCAGCACUACUGGCAUGGGGGCAGAAGCCGACGACUGGCCAUCUCUCAAUUUUUGAUAAACGGCCGCACAGAAAGUAAUAUUUUAAAUUCAAUAAGCAUUGCUUAGCGCAUAUGAACAAGUUUUUAGCGCACAGGAUAAACACGAGCGAGUUCAUUCAAAAAUCACAUCCUUGGUACAUUCAUCCGCCACAAGGCGGGCACCUGCAAGAACAUCCUUGUAGUAGUUCUCGGGCUUGCGAUGCUCCUUUCCCGGCGGCGGCCCGUCCUUCACAAGCUUCUCACCGUCCAGCUUACCCCAGUGCACCUUUGCACGGGCAAGGGCCCGACGGGAACCUUCGAUGCAGACGGAGUGCUUGAUGACCUCGAGCCUCGGACAGGCCUCCACUAGCCGCCGCACCAGCCUGAAAUAGCUCCCAGGCAGGGCCUCUCCGGGCCACAGCCGAACUAUGAAGCCCUUCAUGGCCUGCUCGGCCGCCUUGUGGAGCUCGACCAACUGUUGCAGCUGGUCGCUCAAGGGCACAGGGUGUCCGGCCUCAGAAUACUGAGACUAGAGCACCUUCUCUGUCGAGCUACCCUCUUCAGCUCGGUAGAAUGCGGCAGCGUCGGAUACGCUGCGGGGAAGAUCUGCGAAUGUCCCUGGAGAGCUCCGGAUCCGGGUAAGUAACAAGUAGUUCACUUUUAUAUUUCUGCUUUGCAUAAAGAAUGCCUUACCCGCUGCUAUCUUCCUCAUCUCCUCCAACUCUUGGAGGGCCUUUUGGGCUUCGGCCUUGGCAGACUUGGCAGCCUCUAGGGCCGUCGCGAGCUCGGAUGCUUGCGCCUUUGACUCAAGCUCCAAACUCUCAUGUUUUUUCAUGAGAGCCCGAAGCUCUUGCUGCACCUCGCCGACCUGAGCCCCAAGUCUGUCUCGCUCGGUGCGCUCCGCGGCCCUUUUCUUUUCGGCCUCAGACAGCGCCUGCUUAAGGGUCGCCUGAAGGAAAUAUGCCCUAGAGGCAAUAAUAAAGUUAUUAUUUAUUUCCUUAUAUCAUGAUGAAUGUUUAUUAUUCAUGCUAGAAUUGUAUUAACCGGAAACAUAAUACAUGUGUGAAUACAUAGACAAACAGAGUGUCACUAGUAUGCCUCUACUUGACUAGCUCGUUAAUCAAAGAUGGUUAUGUUUCCUAACCAUAGACAAAAGAGUUGUUAUUUGAGUAACGAGGUCACAUCAUUAGUUGAAUGAUCUGAUUGACAUGACCCAUUCCAUUAGCUUAGCACCUGAUCGUUUAGUAUGUUGCUAUUGCUUUCUUCAUGACUUAUACAUGUUCCUAUAACUAUGAGAUUAUGCAACUCCCGUUUGCCGGAGGAACACCUUGGGUGCUACCAAACGUCACAACGUAACUGGGUGAUUAUAAAGGAGCAUUACAGGUGUCUCCAAAAGUAGAUGUUGGGUUGGCGUAUUUCGAGAUUAGGAUUUGUCACUCCGAUUGUCGGAGAGGUAUCUCUGGGCCCUCUCGGUAAUGCACAUCACAUAAGCCUUGCAAGCACUGCAACUAAUAUGUUAGUUGUGAGAUGAUGUAUUACGGAACAAGUAAAGAGACUUGCCAGUAACGAGAUUGAACUAGGUAUUGGAUACCGACGAUCGAAUCUCGGGCAAGUAACAUACCGAUGACAAAGGGAACAACGUAUGUUGUUAUGCGGUCUGACCGAUAAAGAUCUUCGUAGAAUAUGUAGGAGCCAAUAUGGGCAUCCAGGUCCCGCUAUUCGUUAUUGACCGGAGACGUGUCUCGGUCAUGUCUACAUUGUUCUCGAACCCGUAGGGUCCGCACGCUUAAGGUUACGAUGACAGUUAUAUUAUGAGUUUACAUGUUUUGAUGUACCGAAGGAGUUCGGAGUCCCGGAUGAGAUUGGGGACAUGACGAGGAGUCUCGAAAUGUUCGAGACGUAAAGAUUCAUAUAUUGGAUGAUAUGGUUAGGCCAAGGGGUCAAGCCCAUGAGGCUUUAGAUCGGUGCAAAAGGAGUUUUGCGGAGUCCAGGGGGCCAAACGCCGGAGACCCUGGCGUCUGGCCCUGGGCCAGACACCGAGGCCCAUGGCGUCUGGGCCAGACGCCAAGGAUUGUGGCGUUUGGUCCUGGAGUCCGAGUGGGACUCUUGCCUUUCGGGAAAAACCGACUUUGAGGAGGCUUUUGCUCCAAGUUUCGACCCCGGGGCUCAACAUAUAAAUAGAGGGGCAGGGCUAGCACCAAAGACACAACAAUUGAUCCCUUGGAUCUCUUAGCCGUGUGCGGUGCCCCCCUCCACCAUAGUCCACCUCGAUAAUAUCGUAGCGGUGCUUAGGCGAAGCCCUGCGACGGUAGAACAUCAAGAUCGUCACCACGCCGUCGUGCUGACGGAACUCUCCCUCGACACUCGGCUGGAUCGGAGUUCGAGGGACGUCAUCGAGCUGAACGUGUGCUAGAACUCGGAGGUGCCGUAGUUUCGGUGCUUGAUCGGUCGGGCCGUGAAGACGUACGACUACAUCAACCGCGUUGUGCUAACGCUUCCGCUUACGGUCUACAAGGGUAUGUAGACAACACUCUCCCCUCUCAUUGCUAUACAUCACCAUGAUCUUGCGUGUGCGUAGGAAAUUUUUGAAAUUACUACGAAACCCAACAGUGGUAUCAGAGCCUAGGUUACUUAUGUUGAUGUUAUAUGCACGAGUAGAACACAAGUGAGUUGUGGACGAUACAAGUCAUACUGCCUACCAGCAUGUCAUACUUUGGUUCGGCGGUAUUGUUGGACGAGACGACCCGGACCAACCUUACGCGUACGCUUACGCGAGACCGGUUCCCUCGACGUGCUUUGCACAUAGAUGGCUUGCGGGCGACUGUCUCUCCAACUUUAGUUGAACCGAGUAUGGCUACGCCCGGUCCUUGAGAAGGUUAAAACGGAGUCUAUUUGACAAACUAUCGUUGUGGUUUUGAUGCGUAGGUGAGAUUGGUUCUUACUUAAGCCCGUAGCAGCCACGUAAAACAUGCAACAACAAAGUAGAGGACGUCUAACUUGUUUUUGCAGGGCAUGUUGUGAUGUGAUAUGGUCAAAGCAUGAUGCUGAAUUUUAUUGUAUGAGAUGAUCAUGUUUUGUAACCGAGUUAUCGGCAACUGGCAGGAGCCAUAUGGUUGUCUCUUUAUUGUAUGCAAUGCAAUCGCGAUGUAAUGCUUUACUUUAUUACUAAACGGUAGUGAUAGUCGUGGAAGCAUAAGAUUGGCGAGACGACAACGAUGCUACGAUGGAGAUCAAGGUGUCGCGCCGGUGACGGUGGUGAUCAUGACGGUGCUUUGGAGAUGGAGAUCACAAGCACAAGAUGAUGAUGGCCAUAUCAUAUCACUUAUAUUGAUUGCAUGUGAUGUUUAUCUUUUUAUGCAUCUUAUCUUGCUUUGAUUGACGGUAGCAUUAUAAGAUGAUCUCUCACUAAAUUAUCAAGAAGUGUUCUCCCUGAGUAUGCACCGUUGCCAAAGUUCGUCGUGCCCAGACACCACGUGAUGAUCGGGUGUGAUAAGCUCUACGUCCAUCUACAACGGGUGCAAGCCAGUUUUGCACACGCAGAAUACUCAGGUUAAACUUGACGAGCCUAGCAUAUACAGAUAUGGCCUCGGAACACGGAGACCGAAAGGUCGAGCGUGAAUCAUAUAGUAGAUAUGAUCAACAUAACGAUGUUCACCAUUGAAAACUACUCCAUCUCACGUGAUGAUCGGUCAUGGUUUAGUUGAUUUGGAUCACGUAAUCACUUAGAGGAUUAGAGGGAUGUCUAUCUAAGUGGGAGUUCUUAAAUAAUAUGAUUAAUUGAACUUUAAUUUAUCAUGAACUUAGUCCUGGUAGUAUUUUGCAAAUUAUGUUGUAGAUCAAUAGCUCGCGUUGUUGCUUCCCUAUGUUUAUUUUGAUAUGUUCCUAGAGAAAAUCAUGUUGAAAAAUGUUAGUAGCAAUGAUGCGGAUUGGAUCCGUGAUCUGAGGUUUAUCCUCAUUACUGCACAGAAGAAUUAUGUCCUUGAUGCACCGCUAGGUGACGGACCUAUUGCAGGAGCAGAUGCAGACGUUAUGAACGUUUGGCUAGCUCAAUAUGAUGACUACUUGAUAGUUUAGUGCACAGUGCUUAAUGGCUUAGAAUCGGGACUUCAACGAUGUUUUGAACGUCAUGGAGCAUAUGAGAUGUUCCAGGAGUUGAAGUUAAUAUUUCAAGCAAAUACCCGAGUUGAGAGAUAUGUAGUCUCCAACAAGUUCUAUAGCUAAAAGAUGGAGGAGAAUCGCUCAACUAGUGAGCAUGUGCCCAGAUUGUCUGAGUACAACAAUCGCUUGAAUCAAGUGGGAGUUAAUCUUCCAGAUAAGAUAGUGAUUGACAGAAUUCUCUAGUCACCAUCACCAAGUUAGUAGAACUUCGUGAUGAACUAUGAUAUGCAAGGGAUAACGGAAACAAUUCCCAAGCUCUUCGUAAUGCGGAAAUUGACGAAGGUAGAAAUCGAGAAAAACAUCAAGUGUUGAUGGUAGACAAGACCACUAGUUUCAAGAAAAGGGCAGAGGGAAGAAGGGGAACUUCAAAUAGAAUGGCAAGCAAGUUGCUGCUCAAGUGAAGAAGCCCAAGUCUGGUCCUGAGCCUGAGACUAAGUGUUUCUACUGCAAAGGGACUGGUCACUGGAAGCGGAACUACCCCAAGUGAUUGGCAGAUAAGAAGGAUGGCAAAGUGAACAUAAGUAUAUUUUAUAUACAUGUUAUUGAUGUGUACUUUACUAGUGUUUAUGGCAACCCCUCAGUAUUUGAUACUAGUUCAGUUGCUAAGAUUAGUAACUCGAAACGGGAGUUGCAGAAUAAACAGAGACUAGUUAAGGGUGAAGUGACGAUGUGUGUUGGAAGUGGUUCCAAGAUUGAUAUGAUCAUCAUCGCACACUCCCUAUACUUUCGGGAUUAGUGUUGAACCUGAAUAAGUGUUAUUUGGUGUUUGCGUUGAGCAUGAAUAUGAUUUGAUCAUGUUUAUUGUUAUACGGUUAUUCAUUUAAGUAAGAGAAUAAAUUGUUGUUCUGUUUACAUGAAUAAAACCUUAUAUGGUUACACACCCAAUGAAAAUAGUUCGUUGGAUCUCGAUCGUAGUGAUACACAUAAUCAUAAUAUUGAAACCAAAAGAUGCAAAGUUAAUAAUGAUAGUGCAACUUAUUUGUAGCACUGCCGUUUAGGUCAUAUUGGUGUAAAGCGCAUGAAGAAACUCCAUGCUGAUGGGAUUUUGGAAUCACUUGAUUAUGAAUCACUUGAUGCUUGCGAACCAUGCCUUUUGGGCAAGAUGACUAAAACGCCGUUCUCCGGAACAAUGAAGCAAGCAACAGAUUUGUUGGAGAUCAUACAUACUGAUGUAUGUGGUUCGGUGAAUAUUAAAGCUUGCAGCAGGUAUCAUUAUUUUCUGACCUUCACAGAUGAUUUGAGCAGAUAUGGGGAUAUCUACUUGAUGAAACAUAAGUUUGAAACAUUUGAACAGUUCAAAGAAUUUCAGAGUGAAGUGGAAAAUCAUCGUGACAAGAAAAUAAAGUUUCUACGAUCUGAUCGCGGAGACAAAUAUUUGAGUUACGAGUUUGGUCUUCAAUUAAAACAAUGUGGAAUAGUUUCACAAACUCAUGCCACAUGGAACACCACAGCAUAAUGGUGUGUCCGAACGUCAUAACCGUACUUUAUUAGAUAUAUAGUGCAAUCUAUGAUGUCUCAUACGGAUCUACCACUAUCGUUUUGGGGUUAUGCAUUAAAGACAGCUACAUUCACAUUAAAUAGGGCACCAUCUAAAUCCGUUGAGGCGACACCAUAUGAACUAUGGUUUGGCAAGAAACCUAAGCUGUCGUUUCUUAAAGUUUGGGGUUGCAAUGCUUAUAUGAAAAUAUUUCAUCCUGAUAAGCUCAAACUCAAAUCGGAGAAGUGCGUCUUCAUAGGAUAUCCAGAGGAAACUAUUGGAUACACCAUCUACCACAGAUCCGAAGGCAAGACCUUUUUUGCUAAAUUCGGAAACUUUCUGGAGAAGGGGUUUCUCUUGAAAGAAGUGAGUGGGAGGAAAGUAGAACUUGACGAGGUAACUGUACCUGCUCCCUUAUUGGAAAGUAGUACAUCACAGAAAACUGUUUUUGUGACACCUACACCAGUUAGUGAGGAAGCUAAUGAUGAUGAUCAUGAAACUUCAGAACAAGAUACUACUGAACCUCGUAGAUCAACCAGAGUAAGAUCCGCGCCAGAGUGGUACGGUAAUCCUGUUCUGAAAGUCAUGCUACUAGAUCAUGAUGAAACCUACGAACUAUGAAGAAGCGAUGAUGAGCCCAGAUUCCGCAAAGUGGCUUGAAGCCAUGAAAUCUGAGAUGGGAUCCAUGUAUGAGAACAAAGUAUGGACUUUGGUUGACUUGCCCGAUGAUCGGCAAGCAAUUGAGAAUAAAUGGAUCUUUAAGAAGAAGACUGACGCUGAUGGUAAUGUUACUGUCUACAAAGCUCGACUUGUCGCAAAAGGUUUUCGGCAAGUUCAAGGGAUUGACUACGAUGAGACCUUCUCACCCGUAGCGAUGCUUAAGUCCGUCCGAAUCAUGUUAGCAAUUGCCGCAUUUUAUGAUUAUGAAAUUUGGCAGAUGGAUGUCAAAACUGCAUUCCUGAAUGGAUUUCUGGAAGAAGAGUUGUAUAUGAUGCAACCGGAAGGUUUUGUCGAUCCAAAGGGAGCUAACAAAGUGUGCAAGCUCCAGCGAUCCAUUUAUGGACUGGUGCAAGCCUCUCAGAGUUGGAAUAAACAUUUUGAUAGUGUGAUCAAAGCAUUUGGUUUUAUACAGACUUUCGAAGAAGCCUGUAUUUACCAGAAAGUGAGUGGGAGCUCUACAACAUUUCUGAUAAGUAUAUGUGAAUGACAUAUUGUUGAUCGGAAAUAAUGUAGAAUUAUUCUGUAAAGCAUAAAAGGAGUGUUUGAAAGGAGUUUUUCAAAGAAAGACUUCGGUGAAGCUGCUUACAUAUUGAGUUUCAAGAUCUAUAGAGAUAGAUCAAGACGCUUGAUAAGUUUUUUCAAUGAGUACAUACCUUGACAAGAUUUUGAAGUAGUUCAAAAUGGAACAGUCAAAGAAAGAGUUCUUGCCUGUGUUACAAGGUGUGAAGUUGAGUAAGACUCAAAGCCCGACCACGGCAAAAAAAAUAGAAAGAGAAUGAAAGUCAUUUCCUAUGCCUCAGUCAUAGGUUCUAUAAAGUAUGCCAUGCUGUGUACCAGAUCUAUUGUAUACCCUGCACUGAGUUUGGCAAGGGAGUACAAUAGUGAUCUAGGAGUAGAUCACUGGACAGCGGUCAAAAUUGUCCUUAGUGGAAUAAGGAUAUGUUUCUCUAUUAUGGAAGUGAAAAAAGGUUCGUCGUAAAGGGUUACACCGAUGCAAGUUUGACACUAAUCUAGAUGACUCUAAGUCUCGAUCUAGAUACAUAUUGAAAGUGGGAGCAAUUAGCUAGAGUAGCUCCAUGCAGAGCAUUGUUGACAUAGAAAUUUGCAAAAUACAUGAGGAUCUGAAUGUGGCAGACCCGUUGACUAAGAUUCUCUCACAAGCAAAACAUGAUCACACCUUAGUACUCCUUGGGUGUUAAUCACAUAGCGAUGUGAACUAGAUUACUGAAUCUAGUAAACCCUUUGGGUGUUGGUCACAUAGCGAUGUGAACUAUGGGUGUUAAUCACAUGCUGAUGUGAACUAUUGCUGUUAAAUCACAUGGCGAUGUGAACUAGAUUAUUGACUCUAGUGCAAGUGGGAGACUGAAGGAAAUAUGCCCUAGAGGCAAUAAUAAAGUUAUUAUUUAUUUCCUUAUAUCAUGAUAAAUGUUUAUUAUUCAUGCUAGAAUUGUAUUAACCGGAAACAUAAUACAUGUGUGAAUACAUAGACAAACAGAGUGUCACUAGUAUGCCUCUACUUGACUAGCUCGUUAAUCAAAGAUGGUUAUGUUUCCUAACCAUAGACAAAAGAGUUGUUAUUUGAGUAACGAGGUCACAUCAUUAGUUGAAUGAUCUGAUUGACAUGACCCAUUCCAUUAGCUUAGCACCUGAUCGUUUAGUAUGUUGCUAUUGCUUUCUUCAUGACUUAUACAUGUUCCUAUAACUAUGAGAUUAUGCAACUCCCGUUUGCCGGAGGAACACCUUGGGUGCUACCAAACGUCACAACGUAACUGGGUGAUUAUAAAGGAGCAUUACAGGUGUCUCCAAAAGUCGAUGUUGGGUUGGCGUAUUUCGAGAUUAGGAUUUGUCACUCCGAUUGUCGGAGAGGUAUCUCUGGGCCCUCUCGGUAAUGCACAUCACAUAAGCCUUGCAAGCACUGCAACUAAUAUGUUAGUUGUGAGAUGAUGUAUUACGGAACGAGUAAAGAGACUUGCCAGUAACGAGAUUGAACUAGGUAUUGGAUACCGACGAUCGAAUCUCGGGCAAGUAACAUACCGAUGACAAAGGGAACAACGUAUGUUGUUAUGCGGUCUGACCGAUAAAGAUCUUCGUAGAAUAUGUAGGAGCCAAUAUGGGCAUCCAGGUCCCGCUAUUGGUUAUUGACCGGAGACGUGUCUCGGUCAUGUCUACAUUGUUCUCGAACCCGUAGGGUCCGCACGCUUAAGGUUACGAUGACAGUUAUAUUAUGAGUUUACAUGUUUUGAUGUACCGAAGGAGUUCGGAGUCCCGGAUGAGAUUGGGGACAUGACGAGGAGUCUCGAAAUGG
rnacentral:lncRNA from 1 species